UUGGAAGUUUACUCAAUGGAAUUAAAAACCCUUUCCGAGAACCUAAUAUCGAAAAUGGGAGAAGUGUUAAAUAUCAAAGAUGAAGAAAUGAGAGAAUUCUUUGAAAAUGGAGUGCAAGCAAUGAGGAUGAAUUAUUACCCUCCAUGUCCUCAGCCCGAGAAGGUUAUGGGCCUGUCGCCUCAUUCUGAUGCAGCUGCACUUGCCAUUCUGCGACAACUUAAUGAAGUGGAGGGUCUCCAGAUAAAGAAGGAUGGAAAGUGGAUUCCUGUUACCCCACUCCCGGAUGCUUUCAUUGUCAACAUUGGAGACACAUUGGAGGCAAUAAUUAUAAUAAAUUACCUUAACCUGGCAUUUUUAUGCGCUUGCUUAUGUGCUUUAAUAAUUUUUGCAUGGCAGAUUAUAACCAAUGGGACAUACCCUAGCAUUGAGCAUCGUGCAGUUGUAAACUCUGUACAGGAAAGACUUUCCGUUGCCACAGCUUACUCACUGAGAUAUGAUGGUGAAGUGUAUCCUGCCCCCAGUUUGAUCUCUGAAAAAACUCCUCCUUUGUUUAGAAGAGUGAGAAUUGAAGAAUACUUUAGGAGCCGGUAUGCUCGUGAGCUUAGGGGAAAAUCUCAGCUGGAUUCCCUGAGAAUUCAACAUAGUCAAGGCUAGUAUAAGUUUAAUUCGGAUAACUAAAGAGUUUGGUACAAAAACUCUGAAGCAGCUCGCUAUUAAGAUUGUGCGUGGAACUGAAAAUAAGAAAUAAGUUCUAUGAAUACUGUGGAAUAACCUGCUAUGCUAGGGUCGAUCUGUUUCUAAUAGCUCUAUCAUUUGAUAUACUGAAAAGACCAUGUAAUAAUCUUAAGAAUUGCAGACUUAUGCCUGGAAUCUUCCGAUGAUAUAUAGGGGUGCUUAUAUCAGAUCAGUAUCUUUCUUUCUUGAAGUAGAAUUUUUGCAUACCUGACUUGUUUUUAAUGAGAUUUCAAGGACUAUAUGACUUGGUUUCCAAAUUUUUAUGAUACAUACAGAUAAUAUUACCACAGAACCAGUGUAGUUUCUGUAUGAGCCGUUAUAGAUUUCAGUUAAUAGUAACAAGUUUUUGAUUAUUAACAACAAUGUUGUCCUUCCACGUCUUAAAUAUUCCAUUCCAUAACACACAUUGUGACGAAUACAUAACUUGUUACCACUAACGAAAAUUUUUGCCAUCAAUAGCUGAAAAUAGCUGUUAGUUACACAAGCUGCAAAGCUAUAACUUUGGAUUUCAUAUUCAGAUUCUCUCUCAAAGUUGAACUUGGAACUACGGUUGAUGAUCUGCUAUUAUGCUGAGAAAACUACAAGAUUUUGAUUGGUUGUCAUCAGACAAUGUAAAAGAAAUUAGCAUGGUAUCCAAAUUCUUAAGAGUUUGAGAAGACAAUGCACUAUCUUUUUUAUAAUUCGCAGCAGACAGCAAUACAACAGCAGACUGCAACUGUCAUAUUCACAAAAUAUCUAUGGGCCAACCCUAGACCCGCAAUGGUGGAUUAGUCUCGCACAAGGCCACAGCAAAUAAUGACUUGUUGAAAAUAAUACAUUUUCAACAUUUGCUUUGUCAAUAAAACUCUGGAGCAUUAUUGUUGAGAGAAUUUGUGGAACAAAAAGAAGGCCAAGUUCGGAGGUUCUCUGCCUGUGCCUUGUGUUCAAGAGUUGGCCAAUAAUUCUAUGUUAGCUAUCCCUCCCAGAUACAUACGACCAGGCCAAGAUUUAACCACAAUUUCUGAUAAUAAUUUGGAUUCACGGCUAUUGCAGAGCUUGUUUUCUGAAGAGUCAACGGAUUCUGAGUUGUCCAGGCUCCACUUCGCUUGCAAAGAAUGGGCUUCUUUCCAGGUAAACUCCUUUGCCAAGUUAUUAUUAUUUUGCUUUUAAAGGAUUUGCUUGGGAUGAGACCUCAUCUACUAAAUACCACCCUUUGUCCCAUAUUGUUACUCGAGAGCAGAUAUCUGCAAAUUGCGAAUUACAUUCACAACCAGCUAAGCUACACCUGCCGUGAGGCACCCAAGUUUGUAUUUUUUUCCUUUGGACAUGCUUGGUUUAUUAAUAGUAGUCUGGCGUCAAGAAUUAAGAAAUCUGUAUACUCUCAAUCAAAGAGCACAGUCGAUCAAAUUCAGAUUAGAUUGUGUUUCAUUCUUAUAGGUCAAGUAGGCCACAAAUUUGGCCUACUCUGUAUCAAUGCUUUCUUACUCUGUAAGUUAGCAAUAAGAAAGCUCUAACAAAAUUUGAGUCUAGAUAGUCUUAACCAAGCCGGUUUAAGCACCCUUUUUUUUUAAAAAAAAAAAAAUUGUGGGAUGUAACUGACCUUGUCCGAUUAUGGACCACCUAACUUGCUUUCUUGUAUAGCUGAGAAGACAAACCUGCAUUCUUGAAAAUUAAAUUGUCUUUAAUAUCUUUCGGAUGUCUAGGCUUACGGUAGCUUGCGAAGAACUAUAAGCAAAUUUAUGAUGUAGUAUAAUGCAAAUGCGAUUCUAUUAGUUUAUUGAAAUCUAACAAAUAUGGAAGGAUUUGGACAAGCAUUUGUUAUAUCCGAGGAACAAAAGGUUGAUUGGAUUGACAUUUUCUUCAUGACAACUCUUCCAAUUCAUCUGAGGAAACCCCACUUGUUUCCUAAGCUCCCUCUUUACCCCUUAGAUUUCUCUCUCUCUCGUCAGUUAUUUGAUGGUUGCAAAUGUAUUAGGUUCAGAGAAAGAUCCCAAGUCAGUUAUAUUUAGUAAAAUUUGACAAUCAAACAUGAUUUUGAAAGAAUACUGUUAAAUAAUAACUUACUUAACAAUCCACCACAAUCAUAUACUAAACCUUCUAAUUGCGUCUUCUUUUUUCUUAUAGGAAAUCUUGGAAUUUAUUCAGCGGAGUUAAAAAUCUCUGGCCAUGAACGUGGUAUCGAAAAUGGGAAAAGUUCUAAAUAUCAAAGAUGAAGAAUUGAGAGAAUACUUUGAAAAUGGUUUCCAAUCAAUGGGGAUGAACUAUUACCCUCCAUGUCCUCAGCCGGAGAAGGUUGUGGGCCUCACAACUAAUUCUGAUGACUCUGUUCUUACCAUGCUGCUGGAAAUCAAUGAAGUAGAAGGUCUCCAGAUCAAGAAGGAUGGAAAGUGGAUUCCUGUUACACCUGUCCCAAAUGCUUUCGUUGUCAACAUUGGAGUCGUGUUGGAGGUGAUAAGUUAUUUUAACUUGACAUUCAUAUGAGCUAGCUAAUGUGUGCUUUCAUUAAUUCCCGUUGCUCCACUCCCUAAUGCUUUCAUUGUCGACAUUGGAGACACACUGGAGGUAAUAAUUAUAGUAAAUUACUUAACUUGGCAUUUAUAUGAGCCUGCUCAUGUGCUUUAAUAAUUUUUACAUGGCAGAUUGUAACCAAUGGGACAUACCGUAGCAUUGAGCAUCGUGUAAUUGUAAACUCUAUACAAGGAAGGCUUUCCAUUAGCACAGUUUACUUAGUGAUAUAUGAUGGUGAAAUGUACCCUACGUCCAAUUUGGUCUCUGAAAAUAAUCCUCUAUUGUUUAAAAGAGUGACAGUUGAAGAAUACUUUAGGAACCUGUGUGCUCGUAAGCUUAGGGGAAAAUCUCCUCUGGAUGCCUUGAGAAUUGAACAUGUUCAAGACUAGUAUAAGUUUAUUUUGGAUAACUAAAGAGUGUAGUACAAAAACCGUGGGGGACCUUGCUAUUGCAAUUUUGUGUGGAGCUAAAAAUAAGCAAUAAGUAUACGAAUAAUAAAUCCUUUGGUGAAAAUUAUCACCUAAAUUUAGGAAUAUACACGUUCUAUCACCAAAAAUCAAUAACAGAAUAUACGACAGCAUACCUAAGAUCAUAAUGCACAAUUUGUCUCUAGAGUCUAGUAGUUUGUCUUCCAAAUUAACAUGUUCUCCUAGAGAAUCCUUUAAAAUUCUCUGUGCACUCUCUCUAAUGAUGAGAUGUCAACAGAGAAUAGAACGAUACGUGUGACCUAGGGACAAUAACUACUUAUAUAAACAAAUUUUUCUUUUGUCUUUAUGUAUUCUUAUUCCAACCCAUCAUGGAAAUAGAAAAUAGUCUUAAGUCUCUGUACAUUAAAGGCCUACAAUUGAUUAGAUACAUUAAAGCCCAAAUUAUCGAAAACUUUAAUAGAUCAUUUUUAAUUUGCCUUAAACUUAUAUAAUAGUUCACAACAUAUAAUUAUUCACAUAUAAGCCCAACAUUGGAUCAAUGAUCUAACAAUGCUAGAUUAAAGAUCCAACAACCUUUCACUUGGGCUAUAUAUGUAACCUUAUAAUUAUACUUUGCAAAAAUAACCAUAUGAGCUCAAUUUUACUGUCAUUACUAAAAUGUAUCUAUAGUCAAUUCGGUCCAUCAAUCAUACCAACAAAGGAUCAAAACGACCUUUGUUACAACUAUCGUAACUUGACCCAUCAAUGCGCACUAUGCCAAUAUAGCUGAAUGACAUAGAUCAUGAUAUGGGCGUGUAGGAUGGAAAUUUCAUGUAAUGUGAUCUUAACAUGCCUAUUUCCAAUUGAUCCACCUUAAACUUUAGUGAGAUCAAAUUAUAUAAAAAUUAGAGUGUGAAUGAAUAAACCAAAACUUUAUUUCUGCAGAAAAUAACCUUAAAUAUCCCUAAACCGAAAAAUGUUUAUAUCAUAAGAACAUUUAAAAGUUACAAAAUCCCAUUAAAAAUGAAUAUCCUUUAAUGACACGACACCUAUAUGAACAGUGUGCCUACGAAAAAUUUUAGAUGGUAUUCCCUUAGUAAGCGGAUCCGUGAUCAUGGAUUUUGUACCAUUAUGCUUUAUAGACAAUUUUCCACUCUAAAUUCUUUAUUUAACAACUAGGAACUUGAUGUUUAUAUACUGUGACUUCGUCGAGCUCCUAUUGUUAUUGGAAUAUAGCACUGCUAACUUAUUGUCACAUAAUAACUUGAGUGGUCUAUCAAUACCAUCUAAAAUGUGUAACUCUGUGACGUAAUUCCUCAGCCAUAUUCUGUGAUUGGAUGUCUCGUUACAUGCUAUGAACUUUGCUAUUAUAGUAGAAGAGGCUAUAAGAGACUGCUCAACAGAUGUGGCUCGCUCUAAAAGAUAAGUUCAGUGGCACUUCGACUACUAAAUUGAGAAGGCUGAUGAUCAAGUUUGAUUCUUAUUGGAAUUGCCAAAAUCAUAUUAUGAGGCAGCAUCUAAGGGAGAUGUCAAACAUGAUUUGCGAACUUAAGGCUGCUGAACAUAUUUUGACUGAUGAACAAUAAGUCCAGGAAGUAAUAAGAUCUUUACUUGAUUCUUGGGUGCACAUGAUGGUGAAUAUGACUCACAAUGAAAGUAUUAGAACUUUCAAUGACAUAGAACAUCACCUAGAAUUAGAAGUAAAACGCCUUGAGGCAACUAAGCUUUUUGAUCGUGUUUAUUUGACCGAAUCAAAUUCGCACAAAGCUUCAAGCUUCAAGUGCAAAAGGGUCAUAAUUAUAACCAGAAUGGUGAGAAAUCUGAUCCUAAGAAGAGGAAUUUAGAUGCUAAGAAGCGCCCAAGGGGUAGACGCACUGACAAGAACAAUGACAAAUCUAAGAUGAAAUACUAUAAUUGUAGUGAGCCGGGUCACUUUGCUCGCGAGUGCACUGAGCCCAACUCCACUUUAUUAAAUUUUGUGUUAGUUAUGAGUUAUGUACUCCUAAUUGAUUCUCGUCCUAUGUAGACUGUAGACUCAGGAUCAACAGACUAUAUAGCUCGUGAUCAAAAUGCGUUUGUAGAGUAUCAUCAAAUUAGUCAAGGGACUAGAUGGAUAUACAUGGGCAACAACUCCAGAGUUGAAGCAAAAGAAAUAGACACCUACAAAUUGACUUUGCAUGGUGGAUGUAUUCUUUUAUUACACGAUGUCCUAUAUGCACUAGAGAUUCGACAAAACUUAGUUUCUGUUCCCAUUCUUCUUGAAUUAGGAUAUAAUUUAAACUUUUAUGAUUUUUUUUUGGAGAUUUUCUUAAAUUUAGUCCUUAUUAGAACUGACAUUUCGUUAAUGGUUUUAUUAUAUUAGAUACAAUACUUGAUAAUUCAAGUUAUGAUAAUAAUUGUUUUUCAUAUGCUACUUCUUUAAGUAAUAAUAAGAUAGAUGUUAUUACUUGGCAUGCUUGAUUAGGUCACAUAGGGCAAAAAAGAAUGAAUAGACUUACGAGAAAGGGCAUAUUGAGUUUACUUACCAAGGUUGAAUUGCCCAUAUGUGAGAAUUGUUUAGCUGAAAAAACAAUUAGAAAACCAUUUGACAAAGGAAUUAGAGUUGAAAAAUCAUUACAAUUAAUCCAUUCUGACAUCUGUGAUACAAUGAAUGUAAGGGCUAAACAUGGAGCCUCAUAUUUUAUAACAUUCAUUGAUGAUUAUUCAAGUUUCGGUCAUGUCUACUUGAUUUCUUAUAAAUCAGAAGCAUUGAAUUGCUUUAGAUUAUAUCUAAACAUGGUAGAGAAUCAACUAGAUAGUAAUGUUAAAGUUCUAAGGACUGACUGAUGACAUGAAUACCUUUCAAAGUAGUUCAAGGACUUGUGUAAUGAGAAAUGAAUAAAUAGACAACUGACUAUUUUUGGAACUCUGUAACAAAAUGGCAUGGCGGAAAGAAGGAAUAUAAUUUUUUUAGAAAUGGUUAGGUCAAUAAUGGCACACUCAAAUAUUCCAAUAUCAUAUUAGGGAGAUGCAUUGUUAACUACUGCCUAUAUAUUUAACCUAGUUCCUUCAAAAUCAGUUAGUUAUUCUCAUAUGAGUUAUAGACGGCUAAGAAACCUGACCUAUUUCAUUUGUGACCUUGGAGGUCUGUAGCUUAUGUUUAUAACUCCAUUCAUAAGUUUGGGAAAUUAGGAGAUAGAAGCAAAAAGCGUAUCUUUAUUAGAUACUCAGAACACUCCAAACGAUAUGUGUUCAUUGGUGAACAUGAAAGUGGAUUUUUAACUGAACUGGAAUCAUAGGAUGUUGAUGACUCUAUGAAAUGAAGUUAUCAUUAUAUUUCUAGACUUAAAUCAAGAUUUCUUAAAGAGUAAAUAAUGUCUUUCUAUUACUUUUUAAUGAUAUUUUGCAUUAACAUCCGUUUUAGUUUAAUUCUAGUAAAUUUUGUUUGGUUUCGAAUAAUCGUGUGCUUAAAUCAUAUACGCAAGUGUGGGUAAUUGGAAGUUUGAAUUUCAAGGACAAGAUGUUGUUGCAAUGAGCUUGCAAAAUGAAUGAAAGAACAUGGCUGUAGAAGAAUUAAAACAAGUCUGGAACAAUGCAGAUGUUGCAGACAUUGUUGUAGCAAUGUUAGAGCAUUGAUAGAGAAGAUUUCAUGUGAGGCACUUAAAAGAUUGAGAUAUGGAGUUUUCAAAUCUGGCAGAUACACACCCUAGACUUUCAGUUGCCCUAAGUUUUAUCUAUAAAAAGAGCACACAUGCAAAGGAAGAGAGAGGCCGUCAACCAAGAACAAAAACCGAAAAGAAAUAAAAGAAAAACAUAAUUCAAGAGCAAAAUUAAGGGCUGCAUCAUAGGAGAAUUUGUAGAAAUCAUUCAGGAACUUAGUCUUUCUUAGUCUUCUCUUGUUUUCUUGUUUAUUCUUUAAUCAUGAGGAUGCAUUUGCUGACCAAAACUCCAUUGUUCAUGUUUCUUUUACAUAUUAUAAACUAAAUUUAUUUGUGGUUGAGUGAUAAAUAAUCUUGAUGGUCCAUUGACUAUAUAAAUGUGUUGUUGUAUGCUUGCUAUAGCAUUUUAUUUUGAUGAUAUUUAUUUAUAUUCAUUAUUUCGGUUGACCACCCAUUUAAUGAUACAAGCUAAGAAAGAGCUACAAAAGGACUUAUCUUAAUGUAACAUAUCCGAGUAAUACUUGGUUUUAGAUUGGGUUUCUUGAGUUGAGUUUUACUUGAUUCCAAAAGGGCCAUGCCUAAUAUAAAAUUCGUGAUGAAUUAGACAUACGAAUUCACAUUGUAGGAUAAAUAGAACCUAAAUGUGUAAUGUUAUAUCUUAUGUUGGCAUAACAAUUGGUCACUAUUAGAUUGCAUAAGGAUAUAAGACAUCCAACAUGCGACAGUUGAGGAUACAAUAUGAUUUUGCCUAGUGCUGUAUCAAACGUUGUAGCAACCGAGCCAAAGAUUAGAAGAAACAGUCAAAACCAUUAAGAGAGUUUAAUCACUCAACUACUCCAUUCUCAUUGGCUUUAUUCUUAUGUUUGACAUGAGAAUUUUAUUUAUUGCCUUUUUAGUUAUUACAUUUUAUAGUUUAAUUAGUUAUUUAGUCUCAUUAAUUAUUUAGUCUAAAUUUAGAACACAAGCUGCACUGUUCAGGAUUAUUUUAGCAAUUCUGAUAACAUCAAUCCCUGUGGAGACGAUCUUGAAUAUUUAUCAUUAUAUUACUUAUUGUGUACACUUGCAUAUUGAUACUAAUAAUACAAGAAAAAUUGCAACAAAUGUCAGUUUUUUAGAAAAUGAAUUUUCUAGCAUUGAAGAAGUUGAUAAGGAUUUUCAAUUUUAUGAAUUAGAAGAUCCAAAUGGGGUUAUCACUUCUAAUGUCGAUAUUGGCAUUAGUACGAAUCCUCUGGGGAUUGUUACUCUGAGUGGGAGUGAAACACCGGACACUUCGAUUCGAAUUAAGGAAUCGACUUAGAAGAGUAGUCGUAAGUCAAUUCCUUGUCAUCAUUUUGAAAUUGAGGGAGAAGUUUUAUGAUUACUUCACACGAUAGUGAAGAGCCAAAUACUUUUAAUAAAGCUCUCACAUCGUCUACUAGGGAUUUAUAGAUGAAAGCAAUAGAAGAAGAGAUAAAAUCUAUGAAAGUUAAUCAAGUUUGGGACUUGCUUGAAUUUCUGCCUAAUCGUAAAAUUAUCAGAAAUAAAUGGGUUCUCCAUAUAAAAUGUAAAGUGGAUGGGACAAUCGAGAGAUACAAAAUAAGAUUAGUCGCUAAAGGCUAUACCCAAAAGGAGGGAAUAGACUAUAAAGAAACCUUUUCUCCUAUGGUAAGGUUUGCUUCUAUACGAUUAAUUUUGGUCAUUAUUGCACAUCUAGACCUUGAAUUGCAUCAGAUGGAUGUAAAUAUUGCAUUUCUCUAGAUAAUGAACUGAGAGGUAGGCAAAUUUGGUUUGGAUCAGUUUGAGACAAAUUAUCAAACCGAUCCAAACUGAUAUCGACCUAAAUUUUUUUUAAACCAAACCAACUAGAUUGGUUUUUUUCUUGGUUUGAGAUUAUUAGCUAAAAGCCCACCUCUUUUAUAUUGUUGUACCUAAAUUAUUUGUUAUUUUUUGUAUCCAUAAUCCAAAUUGAUAUCUCUUUUAUAUUAUUCAUAUCUACAUAACAAUUUAAAGAUACAUCCAUACAAGUUCACAACAGAAUACAUCCUAAUAAAGAAGUUCUCAACUUGUUCAUUCAAAACAAACUCACAAAAUUAAAAUAAACUUGAACAACAUUUGACAAUCAAAAUAUCGUGCAUCUUGUCCUUUAAAACUUAUGGCCCAAUUACUUUUGAUUUGUCAAAAUCUGCAUAAAAUGACAAAAUGAUAGAUUGCUUAACUUAGAAAAUAAUAUAAUUAUACUAUAUGUAAAGCAUAGGUACCUUGCUCCACAGACGUACAUAAUUCCAAAUCACUAAAGUAUGAUGACAAUACUUCUACAUCAAACUUCCUAAUAAUUUUUUCAUCCAUACCAGAUGCUUUAAGCCAUUGUUGACUAUAUAUCAAAGUCUCUACCAUUGUAGGGGUUAAUGAACUUCGAAAUGCAUAGACUACACGACCUCCAGUAUUAAAAACAGGUUCAGAAGCCACAGUAGAUACAGGAAUUGCUAACAUAUCCUUUGCAAUUUGUGACAAAGUCCCAAACCUUGCACUAUUUGCAAUCCACCAACUCAAAACAUCAAACUAAUCAUCAGUUUCAUCCUCACUAGGUUAGAACAAAUACCUUUCUACCUCAUUUUUCAAAUCAAUGGAAUCUUUCUGCACUUUUAACUGCUUAUAUUGAGUCUUUGUAUUAAUAAAUGCAUAGUCCUUGCCACUUUUCCUUCUUAAACCCACAUCAAUUGCCAAAACAUCAUUAGUAGAUUGGCUACCAUCACCAGAAGUAGAUUCUACAAGACAAUAGGUUUUACAUAGCUAUGAACAUAAAUUUAAGUAAAUAUGAAUACAGUUACAAAAAAAAAGAAAAAAGUAACUAUUGUUAUAACUGAAUCUAAUUUGAAAGUUUAAGAAUACACCUUUAAAAGUAGCUUCUUAAUGUUUGAUGUAAUUUCUUUCGCUUUCUCAAGAUUAUGCAAAUUUUCAAAGCAAAAUGACACAUAAUCAAAUUUGUACCUUAGAUAUGAAAUGAAUUAGAGUAAAUAAUUAUCACAAUUGAUUUUAUCAUAAAAAAUAAAAAUUCAAAUGAAAUAACAGAUUUUUACCUUGGAUCAAGUACCACAGCAAUGAUCAAUAGUUGAUGUAUAGUGUCCAUAGAACCCCAAUACUUGUCACACUUUAUUUUCAUUUUUUCUGCCCUUUUACUAAGAAGCACCUCUUUUUUUUUUCAAUGAAUGAAUGCAACUAGGUUUGAAUGGUGCAAAGAUGAUGAAAAUACAAGUUAGACAUGACAAAUAAUAAAGCACUGUAUUCAACUAUACCAUUAUUCACAAAUUUCAAAAACUCGAUAAAUAUUGCAGCAUUUUUCCAAUCUUCAGUUGUGGGUGGCCUGAUAUGUUCUGCUUUCCUCUCAUUGAAAAAACUCAUAUAUGGUCCAUCACAUUCCUCUUCUUUCAGACUUUCAAAAGCUUUCUGAAAGUGUAUAGCUAUGGACAACAUAGUGUAGAUAUAAUUCCAUCUAGUGGGCACAUGAUAUGCUAAAAGCCCUUCAUAUUCAAUUUUCUCUCUCUCAACACAUGAUUUAAAUUUAUAAUGAUAACUCUAUGAAAUGAGAGUUAUCAUGGCACUUUGAGACUUAAAUCAUGAUUACUUAGAGAGUAAAUGACAUGUUUUUAUUGCAUUUUAGUAAUGUUUUGAAUAAACAUUCCAUUUUAGUUUACUUUUAAUAAGUUUUGUUUGAUUCAGAAUAAAUUGUAUGCUUAAAUCAUAUGCAUAAUUGUAAGUGACCGGAAGCUCAAAUUUCAAGAAAGGAAUACGGCUGCAAUAGGCUUGUAAAGAUAAGGAAAGAACGUAAUUAGAGAAGAAUUGAAACAAGUCUGGAACAGUGUAGAUGCUGAAGCCAUUGUUGUAGCACUGUUGUUGUAGCAUCGUUGUUAUAGAUUUUCUGGAGCAUUGACAGAGAAGAUUUUACGCGAGAUACUUUGAAGUUUGCGGUCUGGAGUUUUCUAAAUUAGAAGAUGCACAUUCUAGGCUUCCAGUUGCCCUAAUUUUAAGCUACAAAAUGAGCACACAUGCAAAGAAAAGGGAGCCGUCAUUGGAGAAGAAAAAUAGAUAAACAACACAAGAAAAAACAAAGAUCAAGAGAGAGAAUUGAGGGCUGCAACUAAGGAAUUCGAGAAGAACAUCAAGCGGAUCUCACUCUUAUUUUUUGUUCUCUUGUUUCUAUCUCGUUAUGAUGAAUUGUUUGAUGGCUGAAACUAUUUUACUUCUUGUUUUAUCCCAAAUUAUGAACUAAAUUUAUUUGUGGUUGAAUAAUGAACAAACUUGAUGGUUAAUUGACUAAUAUUCUGUGUUGCUACAUGUUUGCUAUAGCACGUUGUUUUGAUAAUACUUAUUUCAAUUUACUAUUUCAAUUUACUAUUUCGGUUGACCACCCAUUUAGUGAUACUAGUUAAGAAAGAACCUAAAAAAGACUUGUCUUAGUGGAACAUAUGAAAGCAAUACGUGGUUUUAGAUUGGGUUUCUUGAGUUGGGUUUAACUUGAUUUGAAAAGGGUCAUGCUUAAUAUAAAAUUAGUGAUGAACUAGAUAUAUGGAUUCACCUUGUAGUGUAAUUAGAAUCUAAAAUGUGUAAUGUUAUAUACGAUGUUAGCAUAACAAUUGGUCACUGUUAAGUUGCAUUUAGAUAUAAGUUAUCCAACAUGCGACAGCUGACAAUACAUAAGGAUUCUGCCCAGUGCUGUAGCAAAUGCUAUAGCAAUCGAGCCAACAUUAGAAAAAUAGUCAAAACCAUUAAGUGAGUUUAAUCGCUCAACUACUCCAUUCCCCUUGGGAACAUCCUUGUAUUUGCUGUGUUGCUACAUGUUUGCUAUAGCACGUUAUUUUGAUAAUACUUAUUUCAAUUUACUAUUUCGGUUGACCACCUAUUUAGUGAUACUAGUUAAGAAAGAACCUAAAAAAAACUUGUCUUAGUGGAACAUAUCAAAGCAAUACGUGGUUUUAGAUUGGGUUUCUUGAGUUGGGUUUAACUUGAUUUGAAAAGGGUCAUGCUUAAUAUAAAAUUAGUGAUGAACUAGAUAUAUGGAUUCACCUUGUAGGGUAAUUAGAAUCUAAAAUGUGUAAUGUUAUAUAUGAUGUUAGCAUAACAAUUGGUCACUGUUAAGUUGCAUUUAGAUAUAAGCUAUCCAACAUGCGACAGCUGACAAUACAUAAGGAUUCUGCCCAGUGCUGUAGCAAAUGCUAUAGCAAUCGAGCCAACAUUAGAAAAAUAGUUAAAACCAUUAAGUGAGUUUAAUCGCUCAACUACUCCAUUCCCCUUGGGAACAUCCUUGUAUUUGCUGUGUUGCUACAUGUUUGCUAUAGCACGUUGUUUUGAUAAUACUUAUUUCAAUUUACUAUUUCGGUUGACCACCCAUUUAGUGAUACUAGUUAAGAAAUAACCUAAAAAAGACUUGUCUUAGUGGAACAUAUCAAAGCAAUACGUGGUUUUAGAUUGGGUUUCUUGAGUUGGGUUUAACUUGAUUUGAAAAGGGUCAUGCUUAAUAUAAAAUUAGUGAUGAACUAGAUAUAUGGAUUCACCUUGUAGGGUAAUUAGAAUCUAAAAUGUGUAAUGUUAUAUAUGAUGUUAGCAUAACAAUUGGUCACUGUUAAGUUGCAUUUAGAUAUAAGCUAUCCAACAUGCGACAACUGACAAUACAUAAGGAUUCUGCCCAGUGCUGUAGCAAAUGCUAUAGCAAUCGAGCCAACAUUAGAAAAAUAGUCAAAACCAUUAAGUGAGUUUAAUCGCUCAACUACUCCAUUCCCCUUGGGAACAUCCUUGUAUUUGUUGUGUUGCUACAUGUUUGCUAUAGCACGUUGUUUUGAUAAUACUUAUUUCAAUUUACUAUUUCGGUUGACCACCCAUUUAGUGAUACUAGUUAAGAAAGAACCUAAAAAAGACUUGUCUUAGUGGAACAUAUCAAAGCAAUACAUGGUUUUAGAUUGGGUUUCUUGAGUUGGGUUUAACUUGAUUUGAAAAGGGUCAUGCUUAAUAUAAAAUUAGUGAUGAACUAGAUAUAUGGAUUCACCUUGUAGGAUAAUUAGAAUCUAAAAUGUGUAAUGUUAUAUAUGAUGUUAGCAUAACAAUUGGUCACUGUUAAGUUGCAUUUAGAUAUAAGCUAUCCAACAUGCGACAGCUGACAAUACAUAAGGAUUCUGCCCAGUGCUGUAGCAAAUGCUAUAGCAAUCGAGCCAACAUUAGAAAAAUAGUCAAAACCAUUAAGUGAGUUUAAUCGCUCAACUACUCCAUUCCCCUUGGGAACAUCCUUGUAUUUGUUGUGUUGCUACAUGUUUGCUAUAGCACGUUGUUUUGAUAAUACUUAUUUCAAUUUACUAUUUCGGUUGACCACCCAUUUAGUGAUACUAGUUAAGAAAGAACCUAAAAAAGACUUGUCUUAGUGGAACAUAUCAAAACAAUACGUGGUUUUAGAUUGGGUUUCUUGAGUUGGGUUUAACUUGAUUUGAAAAGGGUCAUGCUUAAUAUAAAAUUAGUGAUGAACUAGAUAUAUGGAUUCACCUUGUAGGGUAAUUAGAAUCUAAAAUGUGUAAUGUUAUAUAUGAUGUUAGCAUAACAAUUGGUCACUGUUAAGUUGCAUUUAGAUAUAAGCUAUCCAACAUGCGACAGCUGACAAUACAUAAGGAUUCUGCCCAGUGCUGUAGCAAAUGCUAUAGCAAUCGAGCCAACAUUAGAAAAAUAGUCAAAACCAUUAAGUGAGUUUAAUCGCUCAACUACUCCAUUCCCCUUGGGAACAUCCUUGUAUUUGCUGUGGUAUUUUACUUUAUUGCAUUUUUCUCAUUGCGUUUUUAUUUUUAUUAUUUCAUUAGUUUAAUAAUUUGUUUUAAUUCUUGUUUAUAAUAAAAAUUGCACUAAUAAAAUUGUUGUAGCAAUUCCUAUAACAACCUAUGGAGACAAUCUUGAAUAUUCAUCAUUAUAUUACUUAUUGUGUACACUUGCACAUUGACAUCAAUAGCAUUAGAAAACCUGCAACAUGCAACCUCAAACCAGAAGACCUCACAUAUAUAAUUGCAUUGCAAAUGCUAGUAAUUAAGUCAUGCAUCUCUUUCAGCCGUUCAGUCACAAUUAUAUUAACAAUAUGGGCACAACACCACAAAUGUGAAUAAUCUCCAUCUAAAGUCAUUGCAUCACCCUUCCAAUUUUUCAACUUUUUUUUUCAAAUAAUUGAUAGAAACGUCAUUAGCACUCACAUUAUCAACUAUAACAGUCAUCACUUUUUCUAUACCUCAAUCAAGUUAGCAUUUUUUAAUAAGGUUGCCGAUUAAGUCCCCUUUGUCGCUUGUUAUUUGGAAAAAAAAAUUCAAAAUUUUCAUAUGCAAUUUCCAAUUAUGAUCAACCCAAUGGGUUGUCACAACAUAUAAUUAAAAUUUUUUAUGGAAGUCCAAAUGUUUGUGGUAAUAGAAACUCUAUACUUAUUUGCAAUAAAAAUAUUUUUGAAUGCUGCAUUCUCAACUAAAUACAGUUGAUAUAUAUCUCUAACAAGUGUUCCCCUCGAAGGAGGGCCAAAUCUAGGAUAAAGUUUAUCUCACAAAAGAUGAAACCUAUAAGACUCUACCUUCCUAAAUGAAACCUUAUUAAGAAUAAAAUACAUAACUACAUUCUUCCUACAAUCCUCCUGAUCAAACUUUCCAGCAAUCCCCAACCCAAUACCAUACACAAUAUUCCCAGUGCCACUACCACUUGCCAUAUUAGACUUUUUUUUCUUAUCACGGAAGCGAGCUAAUUUAACUCGAGUCACAUAAUCCAAAGUAGCCCAAUAUUUUUCACAUUGUUCUCUUAAGUGAGUCCACAAAUUAAAAGUCUCAUUAAACUUACUAUCACACUUAUACUAGUUCCCACAAUAUUUGCACUUACAUGUCCUAUUCACUUAAUCUUUGAUUUAAUGAGGCCAAACUUUUGAACCCCUUUCACUGUCAUGAAGACGACCACUCCCUGUUCUAGAUUUCCUACUUUUAGGUUCUAGAAAAUCAUCCAUCAAUAUUUCUCCAUUUUCUAUGAUAUUAUUCACAUUGGAAUUAUCUUCCAUGUUGAGAGCUUCUAUAAUUAAUAAAAAUUAAAAAACAUUAGUUAUGGAAUCAAUUAAUCAAAUAAAUUAUCAUCAAUUAUACCAAAAUCCAUUUUAACUUUUGACUAAAAUAAAAUAAAAUUGUAGCAAGUAAAAUAAAAUCAAAACAUGCCAUUUUGUUCCCAUUUUUAAAAUUAUGACUAUGAGACUUGAGAAUGAGCGAUUGAGAUUGAGAGAGUUGAGAAUGAUAGGAGGCACUGGAGGUUGAGGCAGCUGUGAGUGUUGGACAAUUAGGUUUUUGUGUUUUUGUUUUUAUAAUAAGAAGUAUGCUAUUGUGUAUGAAAGUGUACAUUUCUUCUGUUAAUAAUCCAAUAAUAAAUUGACACAUCAUAUGUCUUAAAGCUUUAUAAAUUUUCUAGAUUGGAUUGGUUUGCCGAAAUCCAAAUCGAGUGAUGUCGGUUUGCAAUCCAAUAAAUCAAAACUAGUUUUUUUACUAAUGAAACCGAUCCAAAUGGUCGGUUUGGAUAGGUUCAGUUAAAAUAUGCCCACUUGUAAUAGAACCUUAAAUUCUAUCAAGCUAUAGUUUCUUAGCUUUAGGAUGGUUAAGGAAGACCAUUGUGUGUACAUUAAGAGAUAUAAAGACGCUUUUACAAUAUUGACUUUGUAUAUGGAUGAUAAAUUAUUGGCAGCAAAUAGUAAAGAGUUUGUCAAAAUUAUUAAAGAUUGGCUACAUUCAAAUUUUGACAAGAAAGAUAUCGGCGAAGCAACUUAUAUCUUAGGGGUCAAAAUUUUUAAGGAUCGUUCAAGGAAAUUUAUGGCUCUGUCACAAGAGUCUUACAUUAAGAAAAUCAUUGAAAGAUUCAAUGUGGCUGAUUGUAAGCACAAGGAUACCCCUAUAGCUAAAGGACAAUCUUUUAGUCUCGAUAUGUGUCCCAAGACUCCUCAAGAAAAAGAAAGAAUGACUAGAGUUCCUUUUGCAAAUGCCAUUGGAAGUCUUAAGUGUGUCAUAAUGUGUAUAAUGCCUGAUAUUAGUUAUGUUGUAGGACUAGUAAGUAGAUACCAGUCUAAUCCUGGUCAGAGGCAUUGGAGUACUGUUAAAAGGAUUUUAGCAUAUCUCAAAUGCACUGCAAAUUAUUGUUUAUGCUAUCAAGGAGGUGGUUUGCGGCUUGUUGGAUAUUCAGAAGCCGACUAGGGUGGUGAUCUGGAUUAGCGCAAAUCGGCUUCAAGAUAUGUAUUCUUGCUAAAUAGAGGAACAAUUACAUGGAGUAGCAAGAAGCAAACAUGCACGACUUUAUCAAUGGUGGAAGCCGAAUAUAUUGCAUGUUCUGCAGUAGUGCAAAAAGUUAUGUGACUUAAGAGAUUUAUAGAGAACUUAGAGAUUAAUAUUAGUAAUGAUAAUCUAGUGACUAUCUAUUGUGACAAUCAAGCUACUAUCCCUUUCUCUAAUGAUGCUAAAUACCAUACCAAAUCGAAACACAUUGAGUUAAAUACAAUUUUGUAAGAGAUAUUUUGGCAAAGAAAGAAGUAGUCAGCCGUACAAUAUAUAUCUACACAGAGCAUGAUAACUGAUCCACUUACCAAAGCUGUAAUAAGGGAUGUAUUCGCCUAUCAUGCUAAAUCAUUAGGGCUACGUAGAUUAUAAAUUACUACUAUUAAGAUGUACUUAUUUGUUAUAAACAUCUUCAUUACAUAAGUUGUUUGAAAAUGUAAUAGUAUCUCUUAUUUCAAUUUAUUCCAUGAAAGACAUAAUUACACAUAUAUAAGAGUAUGUCGUCAGGUCCAGACUAGUAUUUUUACACAAGCGGUCACCUCAAUUGCUUUAGGAGCAAGAUGAGAUGAGACAAGUAGAAUAAUAAAACAAUAUUUUUGUGUGAGAGCCAAAUAAAAAGCAUUAUUCUACAAGUUUUUUUGCCUUGACUAGAAUCAAGAGGUCUCACACGAUUUUCAUUAUAGACUGACUAUGAUAUACCCCACCAUCAUGGAGACUUGAUUGAAGCUAGAUGUGAGAUCUUACUUUUUACGCUAGAAGACAGCGUUCAUUCUAAAAGAGUGACUAGACUAAGAUCUAUAGUCCUGGAAUGGAAAAUUUAUCGUAACACGUGUAUCAUACCACGCGUGCUUGGUAAUCAAAAUGGAAAAUGAAAGAAUCUUCAAUCUUUCUCAUUGUGUAAGUUUCAUAUAACUUUUUAUAAGUCAAUCCUGGUAUCAUCUUCUUCUCUUCUUCGUGAAGAUUAAAAUUAAGAACAUUGAACAAUCCAUAAAAAGGGCAUUUAUACUGUGAUCAGAUAAGGAUUUCCGCUUGCGAUUUCUUCUGACCAUUAACAUGAUCCAAUACUCGAUUACUCCGCUGCUGAAUUCAAUAAGAAAAAUAUUUCUAGAAUUUUCAUUUUUCCUUCAGACCAUGUAAGAAGCAUACGAACAGGAUGAUCCGGAGUCAAAAGGUGAACGAGGUGACGGCUCGUCCGUUAGUACUAUUAAUGUAUAAGGUAAUAUGGGAAUUACUAAUAAUUAAUCGACUAGCUGAUUUGUUAGUUAUGAUUAUCAAUGACGGUCUAUUUCCUGCCCAUAUUUUACCAUGCUGUUGAAUGGUCCCCUUAAAAUAAUCCAGAUCAGUCAUUUGCAUAAAAAUAUAUCAUGAGCGGUUAGGUGGAGGAUGCUGAUUUGUUAGAAAAUAAUUGUUUUCAACUCUUGCGAUUGUCUGCACCCUGCACUCUUGUUCCAAAACCAAUACAAAGCUGUAGCAAUCUUAAGAGGAUUUGUGGAACAAAAGAUGGCCAAGAUUGGAGGUUCUCUGCUUGUUCCUUGUGUUCAAGAGUUGGUCAAGAAUCCUAUGUUAGUUGUCCCUCCUAGAUACAUUUGUCCGGACGAAGAUUCACCACUCAAUUCUGAUCAUACUUUGAUUUCACAGAUACCAGUUAUUGACAUGCAGGGCUUGCUUUCUGAAGAAUCAAUGGAUUCUGAGUUAGCCAAGCUCGACUUCGCUUGCAAAGAAUGGGGUUUUUUCCAGGUAAAAUGCUUUAGCAGAGUUAGAAAGAUUUUUCAUGCUUGUCUGUGAUUUAAGAAUCAUGAAAUCUGCAAAACUCUCAGUCACAAAUUAUCUAUUUUUGAAACCCAGUUUCCAUUGAUUUAGCAUGUCAUGAUUUCAAAUUUCCCAUCUAGUCCUUUUGCUGCUUUCAGUGCUUCUAGGACUGCAGCUUGUGAAAUGUCAAGGAAGUUGUCUCUUGUUUUAUUGUACAAUUUAUGAGGCGAUAUGAGAAGAAAACACUCACCAUUUAUUUCUGAAACCCAGAUUCCAUUGAUAUAUUUGUUUUUGACUUUCUUUAUUACUUUACCUUUCCAUAUAGCCAUAGAUUUGUUAGUAUAAUUUGUAUUAAAAGAUGCCCAUGACAAAGUUCACCUAUUUUGUCUCAAUAGCUUUUGGUAGCUUAUGAGAAAUAUGCUUCUGUCAAUAUGUGAUUAAAGAUAUCGUAAUUGUAUAAGACUCCCGCAGAUUAUUAGCUGUUCUAGAAUAUUCAAAUUUCUCCAAAACUAUGACUAAAAAACACUUGUAAAAAUCAAUCAUUGAUUAGAUUUAUAAACAAAAUAAAAUUGGUGUUUAAUGCAACAGCAAUGUUCUCAGUUGAAAUGUAACAAAUGCUUUUAGCCAUCUUUGAUAGCAAAUCUUGUCUCUAAAUUAGUCAAAUAAGUUGCAAUCUGUCUUCAUAAAACGCCUGGACGAUUGUGAACCUAGUGGCACGAUUAUCAAAUCUUAGCUGCUGUUCAUUCCUGCAUAAUUUCAGCUGGUAAACCAUGGAGUAAGCUCAGCAUUUCUAGAGAAAGUGAAGAAAGAGGUUAAGGGCUUCUUCAAUCUCAGCAUGGAAGAAAAGAAAAAAUAUUGGCAGCAUCCAGGAGAUGUAGAAGGAUUUGGACAAGCCUUUGUUGUAUCUGAGGAACAAAAGCUUGAUUGGGCUGACAUUUUCUCCAUGAUCACUCUUCCAGUUCAUCUGAGGAAGCCACACUUAUUUCCUAAGCUCCCUCCUUCCCUCAGGUUCUCUCUUUUUGUGGUUGAUAUGGAUUUGCAAACAAAAAGAGAAAAUUAAACCUUCUAUGAUUCUAUCUAAUGUUUUACCUUCUUUUUUCUUGUAGAGACACCUUGGAAGUUUACUCGAUGGAGUUAAAAUCUCUGGCCAUGAACCUGAUAUCGAAAAUGGGAAAAGUUUUAAAUAUCAAAGAUGAAGAAUUGAGAGAAUUCUUUGACAAUGGUUUCCAAUCAAUGAGGAUGAACUAUUACCCUCCAUGUCCUCAACCAGAAAAGGUUAUGGGCCUCACCCCUCAUUCUGAUGGCUCUGCUCUUACCAUUCUGCUACAAAUCAAUGAAGUAGAAGGUCUCCAGAUCAAGAACGAUGGAAAAUGGAUUCCUAUCACACCGCUGCCAAAUGCUUUCAUUGUCAACAUCGGAGACACAUUGGAGGUAAUAAUUAUGAUUACUUUCCUUGGCAUUUUUAUGUCCCUUCUCAUGUGCUCUAAUAUUUUUAACAUUGCAGAUUAUGACCAAUGGGACAUACCGUAGCAUUGAACAUCGUGCAAUUGUGAACUCUAUACAAGAAAGACUUUCCAUUGCCACAUUUUACACAAAGAGAUUAGAUGGCGAAAUAUAUCCAGCAUCCAGUUUGAUAUCUGAAAAAACUCCUGCAUUGUUUCGAAGAGUGACAGUUGAAGAAUACUUUAGGAGCCGGUUUGCUCGUGAGCUUAGGGGAAAAUCUCACCUGGAUGACCUGAGAAUUCAACAUGGUCGAGGCUAGUACAAUUAUUUUGGAUAAUUGCAGAUUUGUGCCAGGAAUUUUCUGAUGAUAAUUGUGCUUAUUUUGGAUCAGUUUCUUUCAUUUUUGGAAUAGAAUUUUUGCAGGCUUGUCAUGUUUUUAUCAGAUUUCAAGAACUAUUUCACUUGCUUUCGGAGUUAAAGAUGAUUCAAAUAUGAUAUUAAAUACUUAAGCAUGCCAUUCUAACGCUUGCUUGUCCAAUUACAUCCUUAUCAACAAUAUAUUUUGUUACAAUGUCACUGAAGUUGAAUAGAUAACAACAUGCUUGGGUUAUAUGUUGUCAUUUGGCUUAACCAUCCGUCACAUUAAGCAGAUUGUUGUGAUAAUGUGUUUUACAACCUUCCCCAGUAGCAUGAAUGUAGUUAAAAUAAUUGUAACAAAUUUUGUAUUGCUUGUAGCAACAUUGUUCUCCAUAGCACACAUUGCCUGAGUACAAAAGUUGUAACUUGUUACCAAUAAUAAUAAUAAAAAAUAAUAAUAAUAGUAAUAAUAAUUAUCAAUAACUAAAAAUGAGACAGAUGUUACUUUCAUAAGUGGAACUUGGAUUCACAAGCAAAAUAUGAGGUUUUAAUUGGUUGUUAUCAGAAAAAAAUAUAAAGAUAAUUAAUGCCUAAACAUAAACAGCUAUAAUUGUAUAAAUGACUAAUCGAUUACAAUUCGAAUCCACUAUUUUCUUAAUAGUGCACAGUCAAUUCCAACACAGCACCAGAUUGCAGCGUGUUAGAAAAAUUUUUAGGUAAUCAUAUAUAUGUUUUAAUCAAUUAUGAUAAUAUGUUUACCCAUAUAUAAGAUUUGAAUAGAUAAAAAGUAAUACUCGAGAACCACCAAAGUCCUUUUAACUGCAGACACGCAAUGGUGGAUUACUCGCACAAGUCAAGAGCAAAAUACCAAGUUGUGAAAGAAAAAUAAAAAGGGGAAAAGAAAACAAAACGCAGUAUUGAAAAUACCUUCGCCUUUUGGGUUGAUGACAAGGUGGGAACCACAAAUAAUUAAUUGGCUGAUGGUUUGUCAUCGUUAUCCAUAGAGGAUAGUUUUGACCUGCGAAUAUUUUAUUUUGCAUUCGAAACAUGUGCAAAAAAUUAAAAAUACUUCAUGAAUGGUUAGGUGGAGGAUGCUGAUUAAUUACUUGGAAAAAGAUUCCUUUUUACUUUUGUGAUUGUCAGCACUCAGUCUUGUUCCAAAACCAAUACAAAGCUGCAGCAAUCUUGAAAGGAUUUGAGGAACAAAAGAUGGCCCAGAUUGGAAGUUCUCUCCUUGUGCCUUGUGUUCAAGAGUUGGUCAAGAAUCCGGCGUUAGUUGUCCCCGACAGAUACAUACGUCCAGAUCAAGAUUCACCCCUCAUUUCUGAUGAUAUUUUGAUUUCACAGAUACCAGUUAUUGACAUGCAAAGCUUACUUUCUAAAGAAUCAAUGGAUUCUGAGUUAGCCAAGCUCGACUUCGCAUGCAAAGAAUGGGGUUUUUUCCAGGUAUAAUGCUUUAGCAAAGUUAGAAAAUUGUUUCGCCAGAACAUGCUUGUUUGUGAUCAAGAAUCGAGAAAUAUGCAAAUUGUCAAUCAAAUAGGCAAAAUUAAAAUUCAUAUUUAUUUCUUAAACCCACGUAUCAUUGAUGUUAGCAGAUCAUGGUUUCACUUUCCAGUGUUGUCUGUGGCUUAGGACUGCAGCUUGUGAAAAGAAGAACUUGUCUCUGGUUUAUUUAUUAUUGACUUUCUAUAUUGCUUUACCUUUUCUCCCUCCAGGCAUGGUUUAAUUAGCUAUUUCAUUCCUAAAUGUCAAACAGGCAAUAUGUAUUAAAAAGAUUGUCUUGAGAAAUUUCACCUCCUCUGCCUCAAUAGCUUUUGGUACCUUAUGAGAAAUAUGCUUCUGUCAAAAUUUUAAAAGAUAUACUAUAGUAAAUUGUGUAAGACCUCUUAGAAAAUGUACUCAUUUCUGUAGUCAAUGUUGCAAAUUUACUUUAAUUUAAAGACAAUUAGAAGUAACAUUGAGAUUAUUUGCUGUUGUAUGAUUUUUCAAAUUCUAGGUGUGAACAAACCACAAGAACUUUAUGCUCAUUAUAGUUAUUCUAGAAUAACCAAAAUUUCUCCGAUAGAAUGAGUAGAAAACACCUGUGGAAACUAAUUGUUGGGAAGAUUUAAAUGUAACAAAUGCUUUUAGCCAUCUUUAAUGGUAAAUCUUAUCUCUAAAUCAGUCAGAUAAGUUGCAAUCUGUCUUAAUAAAACACCUGGACUAUUGUGCGCUUAGUGGCACGAUUAUUAAAUCUUUGCUGCAUUUCGUUCCUGUAUUUUUUUCAGCUGGUAAAUCAUGGAAUGAGCACAGCAUUUCUAGAGAAAUUAAAGAAAGAGGUUGAGGGAUUCUUCAAUCUCAGCAUGGAAGAAAAGAAAAAAUAUUGGCAGCGUCCAGGAGAUAUGGAAGGAUUUGGACAAGCCUUUGUUGUAUCGGAGGAACAAAAGCUUGAUUGGGCUGACCUUUUCUCCAUGAUGACUCUUCCAGUUCAUCUGAGGAAACCACAUUUAUUUCCUAAGCUCCCUCCUUCCCUCAGGUUCUCUCUCUCUCUCUCUCUGUGUCAAUGUCAUUUUGAUUUGCAAACAAAUAAAGGAUAGUGCAUCUUCUUUUCCUGUAGAGAGACCUUGGAAGUUUACUCAAUGGAAUUAAAAACCCUAGCCGAGAACCUAAUAUCGAAAAUGGGAGAAGUGUUAAAUAUCAAAGAUGAAGAAAUGAUAGAAUUCUUUGAAAAUGGACUGCAAGGAAUGAGGAUGAAUUAUUACCCUCCAUGUCCUCAGCCCGAGAAGGUUAUGGGCCUGUCGCCGCAUUCUGAUGCAGCUGCACUUACCAUUCUGCUACAACUUAAUGAAGUGGAGGGUCUCCAGGUAAAGAAGGAUGGAAAGUGGAUUCCUGUUACCCCACUCCCGGAUGCUUUCAUUGUCAACAUUGGAGACACAUUGGAGGUAAUAAUUAUAAUAAAUUACCUUAACCUGGCAUUUUUAUGCGCUUGCUUAUGUGCUUUAAUAAUUUUUACAUGGCAGAUUAUAACCAAUGGGACAUACCGCAGCAUUGAGCAUCGUGCAGUUGUAAACUCUGUACAGGAAAGACUUUCCGUUGCCACAGUUUACUCAGUGAGAUAUGAUGGUGAAGUGUAUCCUGCCUCCAGUUUGAUCUCUGAAAAAACUCCUCCUUUGUUUAGAAGAGUGAGAAUUGAAGAAUACUUUAGGAGCCGGUAUGCUCGUGAGCUUAGGGGAAAAUCUCAGUUGGAUUCCCUGAGAAUUCAACAUGGUCAAGGCUAGUAUAAGUUUAUUUUGGAUAACUAAAGAGUUUGGUACAAAAACUCUUAAGGACCUUGCUAUUAAGAUUGGCGUGGAACUGAAAAUAAGAAAUAAGUUCUAUGAAUACUGUGGUAUAACCUGCUAUGCUAGGGUCGUUGUGUAGCUCUAUCAUUUGAGAUACUGAAUAGACCAUGUAAGAAUCUUAAGAAUUGCAGACUUAUGCCUGGAAUCUUCCGAUGAUAUAUGGUGGUGCUUAUAUCAGAUCAGUAUCUUUCUUUCUUGAAAUAGAAUUUUUGCAUACCUGACUUGUUUUUAAUGAGAUUUCAAGGACUAUAUGACUUGGUUUCAAAUUUUUAUGAUACAUACAGAUAAUAUUACCACAGAACCAGUGUAGUUUCUGUAUCAGCCGUUAUAGUUUUCAGUUAAUAGUAACAAGUUUUUGAUUUUUAACAAGAAUGUUGUCCUUCCACGUCUUAAAUAUUCCGUUCCAUAACACACAUUGUGACGAAUACAUAACUUGUUACCAUUGACGAAAAAUUUUGCCAUCAAUAGCUGAAAAUAGAUGUUAGUUACACAAGCUGCAAAGCUAUAACUUUGGAUUUCAUAUUCAGAUUGUCCCUCUCAAAGUUGAACUUGGAACUACGGUUGAUGAUCUGCUAUUAUGCUGAGAAAAAUACAAGAUUUUUUUUUUGGUUGUCAUCAGACAAUGUAAAAGAAAUUAGCAUGGGAUCCAAAUUCUUGAGAGUUUGAUAAGGCAAUGCACUAUAUUUUUUUAUAACUCGCAGCAGACAGCAGCACAACAGCAGACUGCAACUGUCAUAUUCACAAAAUAUCUAUGGGCCAACCCUAGACCCGCAAUGGUGGAUUAGUCUCACACAAGGCCACAGCAAAUAAUGACUUGUAGAAAAUAAUACAUUUUCAACAUUUGCUUUGUCAAUAAAAAUCUGUAGCAUUAUUGUUGAGAGAAUUUGUGCAACAAAAAGAAGGCCAAGUUCGGAGGUUCUCUGCCUGUGCCUUGUGUUCAAGAGUUGGCCAAGAAUCCUAUGUUAGCUAUCCCCCCAGGUACAUACCACCACGCUAAGAUUUAACCACAAUUUCUGAUAAUAAUUUGGAUUCACGGGUAUUGCAGAGCUUGUUUUCUGAAGAGUCAAUGGAUUCUGAGUUGUCCAGGCUCCACUUCGCUAGCAAAGAAUGGGCUUCUUUCCAGGUAAAGUCCUUUGCCAAGUUAUUAUUAUUUUGCUUUUAAAGGAUUUGCUUGGGAUGAGACCUCAUCUACUAAAUACCACCCUUUGUCCCAUAUUGUUACUCGAGCGCAGAUAUCUGCAAAUUGCGAAUUACAUUCACAACCAGCUAAGCUACACCUGCCGUGAGGCACCCAAGUUUGUACUUUUUCAUUUGGACAUGCUUGGUUUGUUAAUAGUAGUCUGGGGUCAAGAAUUAAGAAAUCUGUAUACUCUCAAUCAAAGAGCACAGUCGAUCAAAUUCAGAUUAGAUUAUGUUCCAUUCUUAUAGGUCAAGUAGGCCACAAAUUUGGCCUACUCUGUAUCAAUGCUUUCUUACACUGUAAGUUAGCAAUAAGAAAGCUGUAACAAAAUUUGAGUCUACGUAGUCUUAACCAAGCCGGUUUAAGCACUCUUUUUUUUAAAAAAAAAAACAUUGAGGGAUGUAACUGACCUUGUCCGAUUAUGGACCCAUCUAACUUGCUUUCUUGUAUGGCUGAGAAGAAAAACCUGCAUUCUUGAAAAUUAAAUUGUCUUUAAUAUCUUUCAGAUGUCUAGGCUUGCGGUAGCUUGAGAAGAACUAUAAGCAAAUUUAUGAUGGAGUAUAAUGCAAAUGCGAUUCUAUUAGUUUAUUGAAAUCUAACAAAUACUUUUAUUCAUCGCACUCAGUAAAUUUUGCCUGAAUUAGUCCAAUAAGUUGUACUCUGUCUCAGCAAAAUACCUUGACCAAAAUAAAAAACGUAGUGACACGAUUGUUAAUGUCUUAGCUGUUUUUCUGUUUCUGAAUUGUUUCAGCUGGUAAAUCAUGGAGUGAGCCCUGCAUUUCUAGAGAACGUAAAGAAAGAGAUUCCGGAAUUCUUCAAUCUAAGCAUGAAAAAAAAAAAAUUGGCGGUCUCCAGGAGCUGUGGAAGGAUUUGGACAAGCAUUUGUUGUAUCCGAGGAACAAAAGCUUGAUUGGAAUAACAUUUUCUUCAUGACAACUCUUCCAGUUCAUCUGAGGAAACCCCACUUGUUUCCUAAGCUCCCUCUUUUCCCCCUCAAGUUUCUCUCUCUCUAGGCAGUUAUUUGAUGAUUGCAAAUGUAUUAUGUUCAGAGAAAGAUCCCAAGUCAGUUAUAUUUAGCAAAAUUUGACAACCAAACAUGAUUUUGAAAGAAUACUGCUAAAUAAUAACUUAUUUAACAAUCCACCACAAUCAUGUACUAAACCUUCUAAUUGCGUCUUCUUUUUUCUUGUAGGAAAUUUUGGAAUUUAUUCAGUGGAGUUAAAAAUCUUUGGCCAUGAACCUGGUAUCGAAAAUGGGAAAAGUUUUAAAUAUCAAAGACGAAGAAUUGAGAGAAUACUUUGAAAAUGGUUUCCAAUCAAUGGGGAUGAACUAUUACCCUCCAUGUCCUUAGCCGGAGAAGGUUGUGGGCCUCACAACUCAUUGUGAUGACUCUGCUCUUACCAUUCUGCUGGAAAUCAAUGAAGUAGAAGGCCUCCAGAUCAAGAAGGAUGGAAAGUGGAUUCCUGUUACACCUUUCCCAAAUGCUUUCGUUGUCAACAUUGGAUAUGUGUUGGAGGUAAUUAUUAUGAUAAGUUAUUUUAACUUGACAUUCAUAUGAGCUAGCUAAUGUGUGCUUUCAUUAAUUCAUGUUGCUCCACUUCCUAAUGCUUUCAUUGGAGACACAUUGGAGGUAAUAAUUAUAGUAAAUUACUUAACUUGGCAUUUAUAUGCGCAUGCUCAUGUGCUUUAAUAAUUUUUACAUGGCAGAUUAUAACCAAUGGGACAUACCGUAGCAUUGAGCAUCAUGUAAUUGUAAACUCUGUACAAGGAAGACUUUCCAUUGGCACAGUUUACUCAGUGAGGUAUGAUGGUGAAAUGUACCCUGCGUCCAAUUUGGUCUCUGAAAAUACUCCUUCAUUGUUUAAAAGAGUGAAAGUUGAAGAAUAAUUUCAGGAAUCUGUGUGCUCGUAAGCUUAGGGGAAAAUCUCAUCUGGAUGCCUUGAGAAUUGAACAUGUUCAAGAUUAUUAUAAGUUUAUUUUGGAUAACUAAAGAGUGUAGUACAAAAACCGUGGGGGACCUUGCUAUUACAAUUGUGUGUGGAACUAAAAAUAAGAAAUAAGUGUAAGAACAAUAAAUCCUUUGGUGAAAAUCAUCACCUCAAUUUAGGAACAUGUAUGUUGUAUCACCAAAAAUUAAUAAUAGAAUAUGCGGCAGUGUACCUAAGUUCAUAAUGCACAAUUGCUCUUUAGAGCCGAGUAGUUUGUCUUCCAAAUAAACAUGUUCUCCUAAAGAAUUCUUUAAACUUCUCUAUACUGUCUCUUUAAUGAUGAGAUGUCAAUAGAGAAUAGAACAAUACGUGUGACCUAUGGAUAAUAACUACUUAUAUAUAUAGAUUUUCCUUUUGUUUUUAGGUAUUCUUAUUUCAACCCAUUAUAAAAAUCAAAAUUAGUCUUAAGUCUCUAUACAUUAAAGGCCCACAAUCUAUUAGAUACAUUAAAACCCAAAUUACCGAAAACCUUAAUAGACCAAUUUUAAUUUGGCUUAGAGUUAGACUAUUGGCACCCCUCCAAAAUUCUUCUAAAACCCCUUUUUCAAUAAUGCUAAGCUUAAUGCCAAAAAUACCCUUAUUUCUAAAUAAACACAUUUAAUUUGUGAAUCUUUUAAUUUUUAUUAUUUUCUCGCUCCUCACAAACAAAAUUUUAUGGGUGAUAAGUUUCUUGAUAAAAAUCAAUUAAUAAAAUAAAAUAUCUGUAAGAUUAUAAUGUAAAAAGUUUUAUUAUGAGCCUUAAAAAAAGGUAGAUAAUUUUUUCAAAAUGUGUUUUGUUUAUUAUCAAUAGAUUGUCUUAGUAAUUGAAGAAAAAUUUACAGAGAAUUUGAGAAAAAAAUUACAUGUGUGAGUUUGAUGGCAGAGAAAAUACAAGAGCUUUUUUUUUAAGAGAGAAAAUACAAAAGUUUGAAGUGAGAUAAAAUAGAUGUGAGAUAUAUUAGAGUAUUUGUCCUUAAAUGUAAUUGUAAUAGAAGAGGAAGUUUAAAAGGAUUUUGAAGGGGUGUCAAUAGUCCAACUCUUUGGCUUAAUCUUAUAUGACAAUUCACAUCAUAUAAUUAUUCACAUAUAAGCGCAACAUUGGAUCAAGGAUCCAACCAUACCAGAUUAAAGAUCCAACAACCUUUCACUUGGACUAUAUAUAUAACUUUGUAAUUAUACUUUACAAAAAUAACUAUAUGAGGUCAACUUUACUGUCAUUACCAAAAUGCAUCUAUAGCCAAUUCGGUCCAUCUAUCAUACCAACAUAGGAUCAAAAUGACCUUUAUUACAAAUAUCGUAACUUGACCCAUCAAUGCUCACUAUGCCAGCAUAACUUAAUGACAUAGAUCAUGAUAUGGUGUAGGAUGGAAAUUUUAUGUAAUGUGAUUUCAACAUGCCUAUUUUCAAUUGAUCCACCUUAAACAUUAGUGAGAUCAAAUUAUACAAAAUUAGAGUGUAAAUAAACCAAAAUUUUAUUUCUGUAGAAAAUAGCCUUAAAUAUCCCCAAACCGAAAAAUGUUUAUAUCAUAAAAGCAUUUAAAAGUUACAAACUCCCAUUAAAAAUGAAUAUCAAUAUCCUUUAAUGACAUGACACCCAUAUGAACAAUGUGCUCAUGAAACAUUUUAAAUGACAUUCCCUUAGUAAACGGAUCUGUAAUCAUGGAGUUUGUACCAUUAUACUUUAUAGACAAUUGUCCACUCUGAAUUCCUUAGGAACUUGAUGUCUAUAUACUGUGACAUCGUUGAGCUCUUAUUGUUAUUGGAAUAUAGCACUGCUGACUUAUUGUCACCAAAUAACUUAAGUGGUCUAUCAUAAGGGUGUCAAAAAAGCCUGCCCGGACCGGACCCGGCCCCCGGACCGCAUGCACAUAAAAACCGGACCCAGGUUUGAAAUUCUCAAACCCGGACAUUUCCGGGCCCGGGUCCGGGUUCAACACCAAAAACCCGGAACCCGGACCGGACCCGGUUUUUUAAUAAAUUUUUUUAAAAAAUAUAUAAAUAUAUAAUUAUGAAUUUAUGAUAUGUUGGAUGUUAUUUAAAUUUAUUGUGUGAUUAUUGUGUUGUUGAAUUUAAUUUAUUUAUUUUAUAUAUAGAUUGAAUGAGUUUAAGUUAGAAAUUGGAUGAAUUUAGGUAUUAGAAAGUGGAUUGAAAUAAUUUUAAUUUAUCAUUUGUGCAAAAUUUGCAUUGUUAGUGUGUUAUAUAUUUGUAUUUGACUAUUUGCUUUUUUAAAGUUUGAGAUUGAAUGAGUUUAUUUGAUUAUUUUCUUUUUUUAAAUUUGCAUUGUUAGAGAAAUGAAAGAAAAAAUUGAAGAAAAAAAUUGAAGUUAUCACAUGCGGGUUUAGAAAGCCCGGAUCAAAACCCGGACCCGGAAGGUGCCGGGCUCAACCCCGGACCGCACCCGAAAAAAUUGGGUUUUAACCCGGGUUCGGUCUUGUAUUUCUCUCAUCCAGUCCCGGGCAACACCAAAACCCGGACCGGACCCAAAUUUUGUCAAGCCUAGUCUAUCAAUACUAUUUAAAAUGAGUAAUUCUAUGACGAAAUUUUGUAGCCAUAUUCCUUGAUUGGAUAUUUCGUAACAUGCUGUGAACUCCGCUGCUAUAGUAGAAAAGGCUAUAAGAGACUGUUUAGCACUCUUUCAGGAAACAACACCCCUAGCCAGUAGCUAGAUGUAACCAAAAGUAGAUUUCAUAUUAUCUUGGGAUCUAACAAAAUCAGAGUUAGCAUAAUGAUCUCAAGCUGAUCUAACUUUCGAUGUAGUCUUUUGUUCUCUGUAAGUAUCGCAAGACCCGUUUGGCUGUUUCCCAAUAGUUUACCCCUGGAUUACUUAAAUAUCUAUCCAACAUUCCAGUAAUGUAUGCAAUAUUCAGUUGCGUACAAACCUAAACAUACAUCAGACUUUCUAUUACUGAUGUAUAAGGAAUCUUCUACAUUUUUUAUUCCUUAAAAUCAUCAUUAGGGCACUAAUUGUGUAACAUCCAUUAUUUUUGUUUUAUUUAUUUAUUUUUUAUUAUUUUACUACUACUACUACUACUACUACUACUACUACUACUACUACUACUACUAUUAUUAUUAUUAUUAUAUCUAUUUUAGAGAAUAUAGUAUUUUAGGCUAAUGAUUUUAAGCGUGUUUUAAUUUUUCUUUAUUUAUUUGAUUUACCAAUUUAGUAAAUACCUUAUUAAAAAAGGAAAUAAAUUCCUAAAUAGGUAAGGGUGUUAAAAGGCUUGGCUUUAUAAAAGCUUCUCUUGCGUUGUUUUAUUUCUCAAAAUCCUAGAGGCUGAAUACAACAACACACACAAGAGUAAACCUUUUUUUUUUAAGAAGAGAAGUAGAUUUUGAUUGGUUUUUUUCUUUUCCAUAAAGAAAUUCUUGAGUUUUGAAUUUGUUUUGAAGGAUUUAGCCUUCUGGUUUUAUUUGUGAUUUUAUGUGAUUGAUUGAAUGAUUUUGUGUGUAUUACAUUGAUAAAAUUGUGAAAGCAUGAUCAUCUAUUGAUUUAUGUUGUUAUUGAGUGAAAGUGGUGCUAUUAUUUUAUCUUGAAAACAGUGAACAACAUAGAUUCAAUGUUUUAUGACUGCUGUUUUCAUUAAGUCUCAUGCAUAAAAUUUUAUAAUUUAUUAAACUAGACAUCUUUAUCUUUCUAUUUAUAUGUUUAUCGUUCAAAACUCAUUGUAUAUUAAUUUUUUUGAUUUUUCAAAAUUGGAACACUAGUGUUGGAAAAUUCCAAUUUUCAGCAGCAGUUCUCGUUACUAUAAUUUAUUUGGUAACUCAAACGAUUUCUGAAAAUUCUAGGAACGUUUUUCAUUUUACACAUAUAUGUCUAGUUUCUGUAUACUUAAAUUCCUAAUUUUUGGCUUUAUAUAAAAAUAAUUAAAAAUCAUAGAGCUAGGCUACCGUAAUAUUGGAAAUUGUUUUCUAGAAUUGCGAGGGUUGAUAUUGAAGCGAGUUUGGGUUACUUUUUCAUAGUGAAUGCUAGGGGUGGGCAAAAUACCCGACCCGAUCCGACCCGAAAAAAUUCGGGUUCGGGUCGGUUCGGGUUGUUAUUGAAACCCGAACGGGUGAAAAAUUGCAAACCCGAUCGGGUUGUGAUUGGGUCGGGUAAAACCCGAUCCGAUCCGAAUACCCGAUCGGGUCGCACAAAAAAAAAAAAUCACUAAACCUAUAAACACAUCACACAUGCACACACCAGACACCAGACACCACACACACGGCCAUGCAAAGUUACAACUCAAAAAGUCACAAAAACAAGUGGCUAAAAAAAUAUUGACAAAUAAAAAACAAAAUAUAAUUAUAACCCACGCACACAGGCCACAGCCACACACAAACAUUGAAACAUAUCUUCGCUGCCUUCACAGCCCUCAUCCCCACAGCCCUCAUCCUUACACUCACAACUUCACACACACACACAAAUAUCGCAAAAGCCAAAAGCAAAGCGGCAGCUAGCAGCCAACGCAGAGAAGAGAACGGAGGAAGCGCAGCCAGUGCAUGCAGCCACCUAACCCGUGACUGGAUCUACUGCUCCGCGACAUCCGUAGCUACCAGAUCUGCUGUUGCCGGAUAUCUACAGGAUCUGUUGCUGCUGGAUCCGCUGCGCUGCUAUCGGAUCUGCUGUUGCAGCCUCCACCAUCACCGAGUUCCACCGCGAAGGUGCGAACCGGCAACUCGAAUUCUUUUCUUUUUUUGAUGUUUUGAUGGGAUAUAAUAAUAUAUUAUAUAUUAUCUGUUAAUUGCUAAGUAUAUGUAUUGUUAAAUGUUAAUAAUAAAAUGAGGGAAAUUCUUGUAUGGAAAGUUUUGGAGUUUAAUUUAUUAAGUCUGUGGAAGCUUAAAUAAUAAGUAUGAAUUGAUUUCUUUUUUUUUGUUUUGUUUUUAAUGAAUAGAUUAAGCAAAUUAAGCAUUAAAAUUAAAUAUUUUGCAUUUGAUCUGUGCAAUGUUUCACCCGAUCCGAAUUAACCCGAAUUUAACCCAAUUAUUUGACCCGAUCCGAUCCGAUCCGAAUAUAUUCGGAUCGGGUUACAACUUCGGGUUGAGUUCGGAUGAAUUCUUUUCUAACCCGAUCAACCCGAAAUCCAAUCGGGUUGAUCCGAACCCGACCCGAACCCAAAAAUGCCCACCCCUAGUGAAUGCCUUAUAAAUUUAACUUUUAUAUUCAAUGCAAACGUGUUCACAAUAGUUUUUUGUAAUAUUUUUGAUUUUUCUGACAUAAUUAUAGCUUGUUAGAAAUUAACUCUUACAAGACGAUCGAGUGUAGUUUAGUGAAUUGAUGUGCUUUAGUAAGAGUAAAUGGUUUAAGGAUAUUUUGGCUUUCUUAUCAACGUCAAAAUUGAAAAAAAAAAUUGAUAAGAAUCUUAUCUUGAUAAUUAUAGGCCAAGAACGAGCUCGUGUGAUUGGGGUUAUUGUUGAUUGCUUCGUAUUGAGUUAAGUGAACUCAUGCAUAAUGUUUAUUAUAGUUAUAUAUGUAAAUAUCUAGAAAAGAAUAAUGUUAUUCAUAUAAAUUGACAUUUUAUGGUUUUGAAGUUAUUUUACUCUUAUAUUUUAUGAUAAUAAAUAAUGUUUUGAUUAAAACUUUAUUUAAAAUAUUUUCUUAAACUAUUUAAAAAAUAACUUUAAAAUAAUUGUCUUUCCAUAAAUUGGUCUUCCUUAAAAAUAUUUGUUAAGCUUGCCAAUUCAAUGUCUUAUAAGAGCAUUUUAUCAUAAUAUUACUGAAUGAUUGAUAUUGAAAGACUGAAAUUGUAUUUAAGAUUUUGGCUCAUUAACCGUAGUUAUUGUUGCUGAUAUAACCGAACAUUUAACUAUAUUGUGCGCACCUAUUGAUGAUUAUAGUUGGGUAACGUACCCUAAUUGAACUACUAACCGAGUCAUCGGGGUUAUAGGUGACUUACUAAACUAAUACCGGGUCAUUAGGGUUAUAGGUGACUUAUUGAACCACUGGCCGGGUCACCGGAAGUACAGGCGACACUAUAUGACAUGAGCAAUUGAAUAAAUGAAUGGUUAUAUUGAUAAAUGAUUUCCGAAAUGAUUAUUUAUUAAAAAUGGUUAUUACAUUAUGAUUUAACUAAUUAUAAGUUUUAAUGUACACUUAUGGUACUUUAUAAUGAUUGUUUUGUAUUUUAUCGUUAUUAGUAACCUUAUGCAUGAGUUAGUGUUGAGUGUUAGAAAAUGCAUAUUUAUAAAGGAGAAAAUUGUCAUUUUACAUUUCAUGUCUUACUAACAGCCCUUACUUUUAUGUAUUUAAGCUUCUUGUAAUUUAAUUAUGUGUGUUUUAUUUUAAUUAAGUAUUUUAUGUAUUUUAGGGGCAUCAUGGUCAUUUCACAAUAAACGAGAGAUCAGACGGCAAAAUGGACAUCACUUUUGAACUCAGGACGGUUGAAAAUCUUAGGAGGAGCAUAAAAGGAAAAAUGACACUGUUCACAUGUACGGUACUGUCUAUGUUACUAUUCACGACACUGUUCACAUAGACGGAUCGAUGAUGUGGCAUUGACCGAUGAUGUGGCAUUGACUGAUGAGGUGUCACGAUCCUGUUGGACUAAAAUUCUUAUGCACUGUUGAUUGAUGACGUGGCAGCAUAUCAGUGGACCAAAAAUCUCGCGUACGGUACAUGCAUUAUACAGGAUUAUUUUCAACCAAACUGAGUCACUGUUCAACUCGGGGCAAACCGUGUUACUGUUCAUCCAAGUGGUCAAACCGCAUACUGUUGACUGAUAACGUGGCGCAAUCCUGAGCGUCCAAACUGUUUUUAAUCCGAUGGCCACGAUUUACUUAAUGUAUCUACAAAAAGGGGGCCUCCCCUCUAAUUUGAUACCUCUGAAUCCAUUUUUUGGAUCCAUUUUCUAUAAUUCCUUCUCCAUCUUGUAUUUUCUACGUAUUUUAAUAAAUUUCUAUUUUGCCCCUAGUUCAAUUAUGAGUAACUAAUUUUCUUUCAAGCUUGGGUUGAAGGUGAAGUCUCAACAUGUGUCAUGGGCUUUAUUUGGUAAAUUUAUUUUCUCUUCCCCUCUAGUUUUUGUGGAUGUUUUGACUUCUCGUCGAUAAAUAAUAAUAAUAUUGUUUAGUACCGCCUUGGUUUCACCGGCUCCCUAAUACAAAGUUAUUAUUAUUUGGCACGAUAAGCCCUUAGCACCAUAUUGAUUAGAGCGUAGUUCAUGAGGUGUGAAUUCCCCCCUCAUGAUUUAAUUGGUAUUAAUAAGGAAUAUUUAGCCCAUGGUGCAUUUGAUAUGAAUUCAAAUACCCAAGUACGUCAAUUUAAUAGAUUUUCACUUUAAUUUCUUCUCGCCAUUUCAAUUCCAAUUUUUAGGAUAAUUUAAAUCACUUCCACCACAAAUCCAACCACCUCAUACAAAAUUAAUUCUAUAUAUAAUUAAAAUCCACCUCCUCGUGAGAUCGACACUCGUCACUAUUAGUCUAUUAUACAAUAGAUUCGUAAGCUUGCGAGUUCAAUAAAAUUUGCACAACAAGUUUUUGGCGCCGUUACUGGGGAGGUAAGUUAUUUUAAUUUGUAGAAUUAAUUUUUGUCAAUAAUUUCUUUUAUUUGUUUUCUUUUUUUUUCUUAUUAAAAAAAAGGGAAAAAAGAGAGUGAAUUUGCAUUGAGAGAUUAGUAUUUCUUUUCUUUUUCUCUUCUUUAAAAUUCUGUAAUUUAAUUUUCAAGUUAUUUUUUUCUUCUUUGUAAUUUUUGUUUAUCUUACUAAUUUUUUUAAGUUAAUUUAUUUCACGUAUUUUUUUGUGUGUAUUUUUAUAGUAAGGUUGUAAUAGCGCGAUAAGGUUAGUAUCGUAAUUUCUCCCUCUUCUUUAUUUUUAUUUGUUUUGUUCCCAUCUUUAUUUUUAUUUUAUUUGUUUUACAUGCAUAGUCGAAGAUCAUUAUUACCUAAUCUUAAACCUAUAGACCUGGAACUAGAAAAAAUACUUCGCACACACAAGCACGUUAAAAAUAAAUUUGGAAUGGAUUUACAAGUACCACAAGAGAGGCCAUUUAAGGACUAUUUUAGUCCUUUAGCUAAUUUGAGCACAUCAUGUAUAAGAUACUCAAAUGUAGCUGCUACGAGUUUUGAACUAAGACCUAGUCUGCUAAAUUGUCUCCCAACAUUCUAUGGCCUAGAAAAUGAGGACCUUUAUAAUUAUUUGAAUGAUUUUCAUACUAUUUGUCAAACAUUUAAAUAUGAGAAUUUUUCAUAUGAUGAUGUAAAACUUAGACUAAUCCCAUUUUCUUUAAAGGAUAGAGCUCGUUCAUGGUUUAAUAUAUUGCCUGCUAAUACCAUUUCAUCAUGGGAACAAAUGGUAACGAAAUUUUUAAAUAAAUAUUUCCCAGUGCAUAAAACUAAUGCUAUUCGCAGGGAAAUUUCAAAGUUUACCCAUAGAGAAGAUGAGCAGUUUUUCGAAACAUGGCAGUAAUUUAAUGGGCUACUCUUGAAGUGUCCACAUCAUGGGUACGAGAAAUGACACCAAUGCCAAUACUUUUUGGAGGGAUUGUUGCUGAAUGUGUAAGAAUGACUAAUGGCAACAAGUGGAGGAGAGCUAAUGUCAAAAAGUGCAUCAGAGAUUUGGGAAUUCUUCUAGCGACAAGUGGAUAAUUCCCAACAACGGAGUCGAUCACUCAGGAAUACUAGAAGAAUUAAGGGAGUGAAUGAGGUUCACAUUGACGAGUCAACUUCAGGAAUCAAAGAAGUCAAGGAGAUGGUUGAAGGUAUCGCUCGACAAAUAGCAUCAUUAUCGACUGCUAAAUCAACAGAGCCACAUGACCAUGACUCAUACUCAGAUCAAGCCAAUACCAUAGGUGUAAUGAGAAGCCAUCAAAUUACAACCCAUACUCCAACACAUAUAACCCAGGAUGGAGAGACCACCCCAAUUUUUUAUGGUCUCAAGGAUUCCAACAGAAUGAAGCAGCAGCUCCAGCUCCACCAAUGCAACGAAUUCCUCAAGUUCCUCAAGCCUCUCAGCCACCAUUUAGACCAUACAAUCAGAACCAGAACUACUCUCAACCCAGACCAUGGGAGGAUGCAUUCCAGAAUUUCAAGAAUGUUACUCACUCUACGAUUGAGCAACAGAACCGCACCAUUGAUAGACUACGAAAUGAGUUGAGAGCAGGUUUCAACUCACAAGCCCAAUCAGUUUCAAGCCUUGAGAAGAUGGUGGGACAACUUGUUUCUUCAGUUCAGACCUUGGCAAUGACCGUUGAGAAAGGUAAAUUUCCAAGUCAACCAGUGCCUAAUCCUAAAGGAGUACAUGAUGCAAGUACUAGUUCACCACAGCAGCAUGGAGAGGUAAAAGUUGUCAUGACUUUGUGAAAAGAAAAAGAAGUCGACAACAAAGUGGAGAUGUAGGUGAUAAAAGAAAAUCAAAUUGUACCUGUAAAUGUUGAGGACUCAUCACCGGAGGAGAAAGAAGAAACGAACCUACGAGAAUAUGUUCCUAAAUCUCCAUUUCCUCAGAGGUUAGUAAAAGGAAAAAAGGAAAAAUUCACAGGUGAGAUUCUUGAAAUCUUCAAACAGGUAAGUGUUAACAUCCCUUUGUUUGACGCUAUAAAACAAGUUCCAUCUUAUGCUAAGUUUCUUAAAGACCUUUGUAUUAAAAAGAGAAACAUUCAUGUUCAAAAGAAGGCAUUUUUGACAGAAAACGUUAGUUCUAUACUCCAACAUAAAAUUCCUCUAAAAUGCAAAGACCCAGGCUCCCCCACUAUCUCAUGUAGUAUAGGGAACCACACAAUUGAAAAUGCUUUGUUGGAUUUAGGAGCUAAUGUAAAUCUGUUGCCUUAUUCAGUUUUCGUGAAACUUGGAUUGAGAGAAUUACACCCAACUCCAGUGGGGUUGCAGCUUGCAGAUCGGUCCACGAAAAUACCUCGUGGCAUUAUGGAAGACGUGCUUAUCCAGGUAGACAAGUUUUAUUUUUCUGUUGAUUUCAUUGUAAUUGACACUCAACCAAUUCAGGAUUCAAGGAAGCACAUCCUCAUUAUUCUAGGCCGACCUUUCUUGGCAACUGCAAAUGCUCACAUUCAAUGCAGGACUAGAAAUAUGCAGUUGUCCUUCGGCAACAUGACUAUGGAGCUGAACAUCUUCAACAUUGCCAAAUAACCUCACAAUGCAGAUGAUAAAAUUGUUGAUGCGGAUUUAAUAGAAACAUUAGUUGAUAAUACCUUUGUUUCAAACCUUAGUGAUGACCCUUUACAAACAUGUUUAACUCAUUUUGGUUUGGAUUUUGAUAUUGACAGAUCAGUCGAUGAGGUCAACGAAUCACCGUUUAAUUCCAGAAACGAGAUUAUGUGUCUGUCCGUUUACCCUUUCACCGUUUGCCACAAUCGGUGAACCGUUUUUCAACAGAGAGUCCUCUAACAGUUACUCCUUAGCCGUUAAGCGCUUAGGCUUUCACCGUUUCCCUUUCUUCAGCCUCUGGAAGUUACCCUUUAACCGUUUUCGCGAAGUCUAAAAUCUGUUCAAAGGUUUUCUUCUCCUUCUCCAGUUACCCUUUCACCGUUUCCUCCAUUGUUGCGCAGCCGAAGGUUUCUUUGUCCUCAAAUCCUCAUUUUUUCUUGCUUUCCUUGCCAAAUCAAACCUUCAAAAUUAUUUCUUAUCACCUUUAGAACAAUUCUACCGAUUCAAAACUUCAAAUCGAGCCCAAAAUUAAAAAAUCCCAAAUCUAAACCCUAACUGUCGCGGGUCGGGUUUCUUCAUUCUUAAUCCGAUUUCCACAUUUCUUCAACCAAAUUGAACAUCCUACUCACAUCCUCUACUCUUCUUUAAACCUUUUAUCGAUUUACUUUCGUCCCAUUACGUGUUUCCAUGGCUGAACCCUCUCGGAGAAAUCCCAGGCGUAAAUCUGUGCCCCCAAUGAAUCCCAUACCACCUCGGGAGGUCUCUGAGUUUUCAAGGAUUCACUUCCCCACACCUGCCUUGGCUAAGCGGUUCGAAGAUCGCUUUGAUGGUCGAAAGGUACUUGAUCCUUUUUUUGUUGAUAUUGAUAAUUUCCGCAACUUAGUUGUAUGUGGUAGAAGCAUUAGGGAUAUGCUUCAGCCUUGGGAGGCUGCCAUUGAUUUUGAUGACCGAGUUUAUCCAAACUUAGUGCGAGUCUUUUAUUCGAACAUGGAAAUCUCCGACACUCGCCUAAAUAGGAUAGUUACUCAUGUCGGCCGUGUGCCAAUAGAGUUUGAUGAUGCGGACCUAGCUGACCUUCUUGGUAUCUCUUGUGAGGGGCUUGAUAUUUACACCUCUAGGAAAGCCCUCUCCUUUGAUAGUUUUUCUCAUACUCAUGGCGUCCGUAAUAUAUGUCGUCGUCAAGACUUAUCGGAUGAGAUUUGUUUGCUUCCGUUUCGGUCUCAACUUUUACCUCUCCAAGUUCGUAUUCUUCACACUAUUUUACAGCACAUAGUGACUCCUAGGAAGGGUCACUCGGAUGAGGUUACGAGGUUGGACGUUCCCUAUUAGAUAGCCUUCUUACAGACCGUCCCAUUAACCUCGGGUAUAUUAUUGUGCGACAUAUGUUGAGUACUCCAGCGAUCAACCAUCGCUUGCUUCCUUAUGGCAGUAUCAUCACUAAAAUACUGCGACGCUUUGAGGUGCCACUUCUUGAUAUUGGACAUAUGGAGACUCGACGGAUUGGUUCCGAGGCCAUGACCAGUAUCGGAUUCUCUAGAAAGAAUGGAGUGUGGAUAAAGACAAGCAACUCCAAAAACCGGGAUACCUUGAUUGCUCCAGAGGACGAUCGGAUGCUCAAUGAUGUCUAUUCUCCCGAUCAGCUUCUUGACUUUAGAUUAGGAGCUCAUCCUCAUCCUCCGCGUCGCCAUUUUUUCCCUCGGCCUCCAGCUGACUCAGACUUUGAGGAGCGUGCGAUGGAUGCUGAUAUUCCCUCCUCUUCCGAGCCGCCUCCUGCUCCUGAGCCUUAUGCUGUUCCCGAGCAGCCAUCUGCCUCUAUGCCGCCUCCAGCUCCAGUUCAGCCCCUUGCUUCAGAUGCAGUGCAGCAGCUGAUUACUGAUGUUCAGCGGAUUUCGGAGCGACAGCAGCUGAUUCUUGAUCGGUUGGACAUCAUUUCCCGUGAUCACCAGCAGCUCCGCUCUGACUUUCAGAUUUUCCAGCAGCAGAGCAUUGACCAGUAGCUCAAGCUUAUCGCCGGACAGCGCACUCUUCUCAGCUAUUUCGGCUAUGAUCCGGGGAGCACAUCUUCUCCGCCUCCAUAGUUUCUGAGUUCUGUUUUCGCACAUACAUUUUUCCAUUUUGGUUGUUAGCUUUUUCAUACUUCGUAUAUGGAUUUUGAUGCAUAUGUGUGUGAUGUUCUUGAUGAUUAGAUGAUUGAUGCUUUGUGAUUGAAUAAUUGUUGGUAUGUUUGUGGAUAUUGAAGUGUUCUUUUGUUUUGAUCAUGGAGUUGUUGGCUUGUUGAAAGAAGAAGUUGGUGUCAAUCUAUUUUUUGAAGUGUUCUAUCUCAUUUUGUAUAAGUGGUUUUGAUCAUUUUUAAGGGGAAACUCUGCCAAAAUUUUCGCUCGCCAAAGCCGGGCAACUUCUUUAAUGGAUUUGUGUAUUUCUUAUUUCUUCUUUUCUUUUUGAUGAUGAAGGGGGAGAUAAUUAUGGUUUUUAAGAUGGUUUUUAAAUGGGGAGAUAUUAUUUUAAGAUGGAUUUAAAAUGGGGAGAUUUAAAGAAAAAAUCCUUUUAUUCAUAUUUCUCAAUUUGUCCAUACAUGUAGGGGGAGCACAUAUUAAGGGGGAGCUAAACAUUGAAUGAAAUUUGUCAUCAUAAAAAAUGGGGAGAUUGUUAACAUAAAUAUGUUAAUAAUAUUGAUUUUGAUGAUAACAAAUUUUAUAUGGUUUUUGACAAAAAUAUUGGAGAUAUUUCUUAAUAAACGAAAGCCCUUUUAUUCAUUGCCUUAUUUUUUCAUAAAAGAUGGACUUUCAAAUUAGAAAGAGAUUCUCUACAAAAAAAAAAACUCGUUUAAAAUUGCAAUUCUGGUUAUAAACGGUUAACCAUUUUAAACGAUUAAAGGCAGAGAGCAACAUAUUUCCUAAACCUUUAACCGUUUAUGAAAAACGGAAAACACAAAAGAUGGGAAGGUUACUGGAACUUAACGGUGAACCGUUUAUUUUAAACGGUUAACCGAUUAACACCAGAGAGCGACAUAAUGCCUAAAGCUCUAACCGUUUAUGAAAAAUGGAAAUCACCAAGAAUGGAAAGGCUACUGGAACUUAACGGUGAACCGUUUAUUUUAAACGGGUAACCGAUAAUGUCCAGAAUUGAAGGUUGUCCUCCUCUGGCACUGAUUAACGAAAAAUGAUAAGGCUAAAUUAUUUUGCAGGUUACUGGAGACAAACGGCGAACUGUUUAUUUCAAACGGUUAACCGAUAAUAUCCAGAAACGUUACUUCACGCAAGUUCUUAACCGUUUAGCGUAAACGGAUAACAAAUGCUCAUCUUGCAGGUCUCUGGUAGUUAACGGCUAAAGGUUAAUUACAAACGGCAAACCGUUUAUUUGAAAUCUAGCCCAACGGUAACUUUGACCAACCGAAACGGUUAACCGUUUAGGGUUAACGGCGAACCAUUUUCUGUCCGACAGUUUGUAACGGCUAGAUUUUCAGCUCCAGAUAUAAAUAAGCUCAUUCAAAUUCAAAGAAGGUUGAUCACAACACGACCAUUUUGAGCUAAUAUUCGAGAAUGCAAUCUUCAUAGAGCUUAGAACACAUUAUUGCUUCAUCUAUUCACAUAUUAAGCAUCAUUGUGUAAUCUUAUAUAUUGUGAGAGGUAAAACAGUUUGUAAUCUUUUACUUUGAGUGAUUGUAAGUGUUGGGAUACACUUGGGUUAAGAGAUUGGGGAUAAUCUCUUGUUGUAAAGGUCCAUUGACACCUUGGAAGUCAAGUGUAAGCAUUUGAAGCCUUGGAGGCUUGCUUAGUGGAAUCCUCAAGCCCGGAAAGCUUGGAGGCGUGGACGUAGGCGAGGUUGGCCGAACCACGUAAAAAUCUCGGUGUUUGAAUCCCUCUUCCCUUAUCUUUUUAUAUUGUGAUCAUCUUAAUUGUUAUUGCUUUGAAUUUGAUUUAUAAUUGCAUUAAGAUUUUCUUUAAUAAAUUGAAUAAUUUUUUAGAAUCCCAAUUCACCCCCCCUCUUGGGUUGCAUACUUGUAUUUCAUAUUUUCCACAUAUACCGGUAUAGUCUCUGACUUUUCUUUUACACUGCUAUCAUCUUCAUCUCUCGUUUGCAGUUGAUCUUCUAUAAAGAUAACAUCUCUGCUGAUGAUGAUCUUGUGGGCAGUGGGGUCCCACAGACGAUACCCUUUUACUCCAUCAGCAUAUCCCAAGAAGAUACAUCUUCUAGAUUUUGGAUCCAGUUUUGUUCUUUCUUGGGCAUUGUACAUCACGUACACAGGACAUCCAAAUGCAUGUAGGUAGGAAUAAUCAGCUGGCUUUCCAGUCCACAUCUCCAUCGCUGUCUUCAGCCCAAUAGCUGUAGAUGGCGACCGAUUUACUAUAUAACAAACAGUUUUGGCUGCUUCUGCCCAAAAUGAAUUGGGUAGACCAGCAGUCCUCAACAUAGCUCUUAUUCUUUCUGUAAGAGUUCUGUUCAUCCGCUCCGCCACUCCGUUUUGUUGAGGAGUGUAUGCUACAGUGAACUGUCUCUGAAUACAUUCUUGCUUACAGAAAGCAAGAAACUCGCCGUCUGUAUACUCUCCACCAUUAUCCGUCCUCAAUUACUUGAUCUUUUUACCAGAUUCAAGUUCCACCCGCGCUUUGUAUUCUUUAAACACUGGAAAUACAUUUGACUUUUUUUUAAUUGGAUACACCCAACAUCUUCUGGAAUAAUCAUCAAUGAAAGUCACCAUGUACUUUGCACCUCCCAUGGAUAUAUCCGGUGAUUCCCAAACAUCAGAAUGAAUCAAGUUUAGAAUGCAUUUACUUCUAGCAAUAGAUCUACUAAAUUUUAAUUUAUGCUGCUUACUUGUAACACAAUGCUCGCAAAAUGGUAAACUUACCGAUUUGAGCCCCGGAAGCAAUUUUCGCUCAGAGAGAAUCUUCAAGCCUUGUUCUGACAUGUGGCCAAGUUUGAGAUGCCACAUCAUCGUUGACUCUUCUCCAUUUGAUGCGACACACGCAUCAGCCUCCUGUAGUGUUUCUCCUUUAAGCAUGAAUAGAUUAGCACUGAUCUUUUCUGCAUUCAUCAAUACAAGCGCGCCUUUAACGAUCUUCAUAAUUCCAUUCUCCACAUGAGUUUUGUACCCAUGACUAUCCAUUUGUCCCAAAGACAAAAGAUUUUUCUUCAGGCCGUUGACAUGGCGUACCUCCCCAAUUGUGCGAAUUGUACCAUCAAACAUUUUUAUUUUGAUAGUACCAAUACCAGCGAUCUCCAAGGCAUGAUCAUUACCUAUAUAUACAGAUCCUCCUGAGAUAGGUUCAUAUGUGUGGAACCAUUCUCUCCGAGAGGUCAUGUGCCAGGUAGCUCCUGAGUCUAUAAGCCAGACAUCAGAUAGUCGUUUUCUGCCUUUUGAAACAAUUGUUGCCUCGCUGUAAAGAAUUUCGCCAUCAUCCGAGGUACUUGCUAUACACCCUUGAGCAUUUGAUGACUCAGGUUUUUUGCCCUCUUUUCUCUUCUGGUUACUCCAACACUCUUUCUUGACGUGCCCUUUCUUGCCACAGUUGUAGCAUUUAACAUUCUUCUUACUUCUGGAUUUUGAUCUACCAUGAUUUUGACUCCCACUAGGGCCACGUUCCGUUGAUCUCCCUCUCGUCACCGAUAGCGCCUCCGUUUGCUGUGAACUUACUUGUCUGUUUUCCUUAUUUUUUCGCCUGCUCUCCUCAUUUAAUACGGAGGCUGCAACAUCGUCAAAAACUAGACUGUCCACUGGAUUAUUGUUCGUCAGGUUGAUGAUGAGUUGAUCAUACGAAUCUGGUAGACUUUGAAGUAGAAGCUCUGCACGUUCAUUUUCCUCUAUAUUAUGACCCAACGUUGUGAGUUGUGAAAAUAGAGUCUUCAAGGUGUUGAUGUGGUCGGUCACCAUUGUAGAUUCCGCCAUUCGAAGAGUAUAAAGUUUCCUCUUCAAGAAAAUUUUGUUGUGUAGUGACUUGGCCUCGUACAAUUUUGUGAGAGUAUCCCAAAUUUCCUUCGUUGUGUUUUUCUCUGCCACACUGGAUAAUACUCCGUCUGCAAGUGCCAAGUGUAGAUCAGAAAUGGCGUUGCCGUCUACCUCGUUCCACUUGUCAUCAGUUAUCUCCAUGGGCCUUUCUCCAAUUGCUGCCAAGCAAUUAUUUUUCCUCAAUACAGCUUUCAUCUUCAUUUUCAACAAUGAAAAAUUAUUUCCGUUAAACUUCUCAAUUUCAUACUUUGCCACCAUUUUGUUGAUAAAUACCGCACACAAGCUAGUGUACCACCUUGAAUAGUUGUGAGUAUGUGUGAGAAUGCACACCAGGAAAGUUCCCAGGAAAGACUGGAGGGGUCACAAUGGUCCCACUUAAAACCCAGACUCAUUAAGCUCUUAUCGCCUUUGUGAUAGAACUUUCCUAGACAUGUACAAAACCACACAGUUGCUAUUACUCACACCACUAUUCUCUGCUUUGCAUCACAAAAUUCUUGGAUCGCUUCCACCGUUUCUUGUGAAUAGUACCGUAUACGUGAACAUUACCGUUUACGUGAAUAGUACCCCUUACGUGAACAGUACCCGACUCCAAAAAUACAACCAAUAGCUCUGAUACCACUGUUAGGAAAUUGGUAGGUGAAGCAGACACGCAGCUAGAAUAAAAUUGAAAGAAAAAUAAAGAACAAGUACAAAAAAUGGACACCAGAAAUUACGUGGUUCGACUUUUAGCCUACAUCCACGGGCGAAGACAGAAGGAAAUAUUUUACUAGUGAAAAGGAGUUACAAGUAUUGUAGUAUUUUAGCUCACUUCCCAAAAUCCCAAUACACCCAAACUCUCAGAACACUAAUCACUCAAGAGUUUAUUAAACUCUUAAUACUCUCAACACUAAAAGAAAGCAAUAUUUCUCUCUCGAUGGAAUUGGAUACAAGCUCUAGAUUGAGAGCUUGUAUUUAUAGGCAAAAAUUUGCCUCAAAUGUCAAACAAGUGGCCAUAAACUUCAAGCCAUACAUCUUAAAAAUUUCAAACUUUGAAUUUUUAGCUUUGAAUUUUUCUUUUCUUUUACCAAACAUUACGGCAUCUAGAAUUUCAAAGCCAAGUGCCAACCAUUCUUGUUUAUUCAAAGCUUCUAGAUGCAGCCAAUUUUGACAAUUACACAUAUAUAAGAGUAUGUCGUCAGGUCCAUACUAGUAUUUUUACACAAGCGGUCACCUCAAUUGCUUUAGGAGCAAGAUGAGAUGAGACAAGUAGAAUAAUAAAACAAUAUUUUUGUGUGAGAGCCAAAUAAAAAGCGUUAUUCUACAAGUUUUUUUGCCUUGACUAGAAUCAAGAGGUCUCACACGAUUUUCAUUAUAGACUGACUAUGAUAUACCCCACCAUCAUGGAGACUUCAUUGAAGCCAGAUGUGAGAUCUUUACUUUUUACGCUAGAAGAGAGCGUUCAUUCUAAAAGAGUGACUAGACUAAGAUCUAUAGUCCUGGAAUGGAAAAUUUAUCGUAACGAGUGUAUCAUACCAUGCGUGCUUGGUAAUCAAAAUGGAAAAUGAAAGAAUCUUCAAUCUUUCUAAUUGUGUAAGUUCCAUAUAACUUUUUAUAAGUCAAUCCUGGUAUCAUCUUCUUCUCUUCUUCGUGAAGAUUAAAAUUAAGAACAUUGAACAAUCCAUAAAAAGGGCAUUUAUACUGUGAUUAGAUAAGGAUUUCCGCUUGCGAUUUCUUCUGACCAUUAACAUGAUCCAGUACUCGAUUACUCCGCUGCUGAAUUCAAUAAGAAAAAUAUUUCUAGAAUUUUCAUUUUUCCUUCAGACCAUGUAAGAAGCAUACGAACAGGAUGAUCCGGAGUCAAAAGGUGAACGAGGUGACGGCUCGUCCGUUAGUACUAUUAAUGUAUAAGGUAAUAUGGGAAUUACUAAUAAUUAAUCGACUAGCUGAUUUGUUAGUUAUGAUUAUCAAUGACGGUCUAUUUCCUGCCCAUAUUUUACCAUGCUGUUGAAUGGUCCCCUUAAAAUAAUCCAGAUCAGUCAUUUGCAUAAAAAUAUAUCAUGAGCGGUUAGGUGGAGGAUGCUGAUUUGUUAGAAAAUAAUUGUUUUCAACUCUUGCGAUUGUCUGCACCCUGCACUCUUGUUCCAAAACCAAUACAAAACUGUAGCAAUCUUAAGAGGAUUUGUGGAACAAAAGAUGGCCAAGAUUGGAGGUUCUCUGCUUGUUCCUUGUGUUCAAGAGUUGGUCAAGAAUCCUAUGUUAGUUGUCCCUCCUAGAUACAUUUGUCCGGACGAAGAUUCACCACUCAAUUCUGAUGAUACUUUGAUUUCACAGAUACCAGUUAUUGACAUGCAGAGCUUGCUUUCUGAAGAAUCAAUGGAUUCUGAGUUAGCCAAGCUCGACUUCGCUUGCAAAGAAUGGGGUUUUUUCCAGGUAAAAUGCUUUAGCAGAGUUAGAAAGAUUUUUCAUGCUUGUCUGUGAUUUAAGAAUCAUGAAAUCUGCAAAACUCUCAGUCACAAAAUAUCUAUUUUUGAAACCCAGUUUCCAUUGAUUUAGCAUGUCAUGAUUUCAAAUUUUCCCAUCUAGUCCUUUUGCUGCUUUCAGUGCUUCUACGACUGCAGCUUGUGAAAUGUCAAGGAAGUUGUCUCUUGUUUUAUUGUACAAUUUAUGAGGCGAUAUGAGAAGAAAACACUCACCAUUUAUUUCUGAAACCCAGAUUCCAUUGAUAUAUUUGUUUUUGACUUGCUUUAUUACUUUACCUUUCCAUAUAGCCAUAGAUUUGUUAGUAUAAUUUGUAUUAAAAGAUGCCCAUGACAAAGUUCACCUAUUUUGUCUCAAUAGCUUUUGGUAGCUUAUGAGAAAUAUGCUUCUGUCAAUAUGUGAUUAAAGAUAUAGUAAAUUGUAUAAGACUCCCGCAGAUUAUUAGCUGUUCUAGAAUAUUCAAAUUUCUCCAAAACUAUGAGUAAAAAACACUUGUAAAAAUCAAUCAUUGAUUAGAUUUAUAAACAAAAUAAAAUUGGUGUUUAAUGCAACAGCAAUGUUCUCAGUUGAAAUGUAACAAAUGCUUUUAGCCAUCUUUGAUAGCAAAUCUUGUCUCUAAAUUAGUCAAAUAAGUUGCAAUCUGUCUUCAUAAAACGCCUGGACGAUUGUGAACCUAGUGGCACGAUUAUCAAAUCUUAGCUGCUGUUCAUUCCUGCGUAAUUUCAGCUGGUAAACCAUGGAGUAAGCUCAGCAUUUCUAGAGAAAGUGAAGAAAGAGGUUAAGGGCUUCUUCAAUCUCAGCAUGGAAGAAAAGAAAAAAUAUUGGCAGCAUCCAGGAGAUGUAGAAGGAUUUGGACAAGCCUUUGUUGUAUCUGAGGAACAAAAGCUUGAUUGGGCUGACAUUUUCUCCAUGAUCACUCUUCCAGUUCAUCUGAGGAAGCCACACUUAUUUCCUAAGCUCCCUCCUUCCCUCAGGUUCUCUCUUUUUGUGGUUGAUAUGGAUUUGCAAACAAAAAGGGAAAAUUAAACCUUCUAUGAUUCUAUCUAAUGUUUUACCUUCUUUUUUCUUGUAGAGACACCUUGGAAGUUUACUCGAUGGAGUUAAAAUCUCUGGCCAUGAACCUGAUAUCGAAAAUGGGAAAAGUUUUAAAUAUCAAAGAUGAAGAAUUGAGAGAAUUCUUUGACAAUGGUUUCCAAUCAAUGAGGAUGAACUAUUACCCUCCAUGUCCUCAGCCAGAAAAGGUUAUGGGCCUCACCCCUCAUUCUGAUGGCUCUGCUCUUACCAUUCUGCUACAAAUCAAUGAAGUAGAAGGUCUCCAGAUCAAGAACGAUGGAAAAUGGAUUCCUAUCACACCGCUGCCAAAUGCUUUCAUUGUCAACAUCGGAGACACAUUGGAGGUAAUAAUUAUGAUUACUUUCCUUGGCAUUUUUAUGUCCCUUCUCAUGUGCUCUAAUAUUUUUAACAUUGCAGAUUAUGACCAAUGGGACAUACCGUAGCAUUGAACAUCGUGCAAUUGUGAACUCUAUACAAGAAAGACUUUCCAUUGCCACAUUUUACACAAAGAGAUUAGAUGGUGAAAUAUAUCCAGCAUCCAGUUUGAUAUCUGAAAAAACUCCUGCAUUGUUUCGAAGAGUGACAGUUGAAGAAUACUUUAGGAGCCGGUUUGCUCGUGAGCUUAGGGGAAAAUCUCACCUGGAUGACCUGAGAAUUCAACAUGGUCGAGGCUAGUACAAUUAUUUUGGAUAAUUGCAGAUUUGUGCCAGGAAUUUUCUGAUGAUAAUUGUGCUUAUUUUGGAUCAGUUUCUUUCAUUUUUGGAAUAGAAUUUUUGCAGGCUUGUCAUGUUUUUAUCAGAUUUCAAGAACUAUUUCACUUGCUUUCGGAGUUAAAGAUGAUUCAAAUAUGAUAUUAAAUACUUAAGCAUGCCAUUCUAACGCUUGCUUGUCCAAUUACAUCCUUAUCAACAAUAUAUUUUGUUACAAUGUCACUGAAGUUGAAUAGAUAACAACAUGCUUGGGUUAUAUGUUGUCAUUUGGCUUAACCAUCCGUCACAUUAAGCAGAUUGUUGUGAUAAUGUGUUUUACAACCUUCCCCAGUAGCAUGAAUGUUGUUAAAAUAAUUGUAACAAAUUUUAUAUUGCUUGUAGCAACAUUGUUCUCCAUAGCACACAUUGCGUGAGUACAUAAGUUGUAACUUGUUACCAAUAAUAAUAAUAAAAAAUAAUAAUAAUAGUAAUAAUAAUUAUCAAUAACUAAAAAUGAGACGGAUGUUACUUUCAUAAGUGGAACUUGGAUUCACAAGCUAAAUAUGAGGUUUUAAUUGGUUGUUAUCAGAAAAAAAUAUAAAGAUAAUUAAUGCCUAAACAUAAACAGCUAUAAUUGUAUAAAUGACUAAUCGAUUACAAUUCGAAUCCACUAUUUUCUUAAUAGUGCGCAGUCAAUUCCAACACAGCACCAGAUUGCAGCGUGUUAGAAAAAAUUUUAGGUAAUCAUAUAUAUGUUUUAAUCAAUAAUGAUAAUAUGUUUACCCAUAUAUAAGAUUUGAAUAGAUAAAAAGUAAUACUCGAGAACCACCAAAGUCCUUUUAACUGCAGACACGCAAUGGUGGAUUACUCGCACAAGUCAAGAGCAAAAUACCAAGUUGUGAAAGAAAAAUAAAAAGGGGAAAACAAAACAAAACGCAGUAUUGAAAAUACCUUCGCCUUUUGGGUUGAUGACAAGGUGGGAACCACAAAUAAUUAAUUGGCUGAUGGUUUGUCAUCGUUAUCCAUAGAGGAUAGUUUUGACCUGCGAAUAUUUUAUUUUGCAUUCGAAACAUGUGCAAAAAAUUAAAAUUACUUCAUGAAUGGUUAGGUGGAGGAUGCUGAUUAAUUACUUGGAAAAAGAUUCCUUUUUACUUUUGUGAUUGUCAGCACUCAGUCUUGUUCCAAAACCAAUACAAAGCUGCAGCAAUCUUGAAAGGAUUUGAGGAACAAAAGAUGGCCCAGAUUGGAAGUUCUCUCCUUGUGCCUUGUGUUCAAGAGUUGGUCAAGAAUCCGGCGUUAGUUGUCCCCGACAGAUACAUACGUCCAGAUCAAGAUUCACCCCUCAUUUCUGAUGAUAUUUUGAUUUCACAGAUACCAGUUAUUGACAUGCAAAGCUUACUUUCUAAAGAAUCAAUGGAUUCUGAGUUAGCCAAGCUCGACUUCGCAUGCAAAGAAUGGGGUUUUUUCCAGGUAUAAUGCUUUAGCAAAGUUAGAAAAUUGUUUCGCCAGAACAUGCUUGUUUGUGAUCAAGAAUCGAGAAAUAUGCAAAUUGUCAAUCAAAUAGGCAAAAUUAAAAUUCAUAUUUAUUUCUUAAACCCACGUAUCAUUGAUGUUAGCAGAUCAUGGUUUCACUUUCCAGUGUUGUCUGUGGCUUAGGACUGCAGCUUGUGAAAAGAAGAACUUGUCUCUGGUUUAUUUAUUAUUGACUUUCUAUAUUGCUUUACCUUUUCUCCCUCCAGGCAUGGUUUAAUUAGCUAUUUCAUUCCUAAAUGUCAAACAGGCAAUAUGUAUUAAAAAGAUUGUCUUGAGAAAUUUCACCUCCUCUGCCUCAAUAGCUUUUGGUACCUUAUGAGAAAUAUGCUUCUGUCAAAAUUUUAAAAGAUAUACUAUAGUAAAUUGUGUAAGACCUCUUAGAAAAUGUACUCAUUUCUGUAGUCAAUGUUGCAAAUUUACUUUAAUUUAAAGACAAUUAGAAGUAACAUUGAGAUUAUUUGCUGUUGUAUGAUUUUUCAAAUUCUAGGUGUGAACAAACCACAAGAACUUUAUGCUCAUUAUAGUUAUUCUAGAAUAACCGAAAUUUCUCCGAUAGAAUGAGUAGAAAACACCUGUGGAAACUAAUUGUUGAGAAGAUUUAAAUGUAACAAAUGCUUUUAGCCAUCUUUAAUGGUAAAUCUUAUCUCUAAAUCAGUCAGAUAAGUUGCAAUCUGUCUUAAUAAAACACCUGGACUAUUGUGCGCUUAGUGGCACGAUUAUUAAAUCUUUGCUGCAUUUCGUUCCUGUAUUUUUUUCAGCUGGUAAAUCAUGGAAUGAGCACAGCAUUUCUAGAGAAAUUAAAGAAAGAGGUUGAGGGAUUCUUCAAUCUCAGCAUGGAAGAAAAGAAAAAAUAUUGGCAGCGUCCAGGAGAUAUGGAAGGAUUUGGACAAGCCUUUGUUGUAUCGGAGGAACAAAAGCUUGAUUGGGCUGACCUUUUCUCCAUGAUGACUCUUCCAGUUCAUCUGAGGAAACCACAUUUAUUUCCUAAGCUCCCUCCUUCCCUCAGGUUCUCUCUCUCUCUCUCUCUGUGUCAAUGUCAUUUUGAUUUGCAAACAAAUAAAGGAUAGUGCAUCUUCUUUUCCUGUAGAGAGACCUUGGAAGUUUACUCAAUGGAAUUAAAAACCCUAGCCGAGAACCUAAUAUCGAAAAUGGGAGAAGUGUUAAAUAUCAAAGAUGAAGAAAUGAUAGAAUUCUUUGAAAAUGGACUGCAAGGAAUGAGGAUGAAUUAUUACCCUCCAUGUCCUCAGCCCGAGAAGGUUAUGGGCCUGUCGCCGCAUUCUGAUGCAGCUGCACUUACCAUUCUGCUACAACUUAAUGAAGUGGAGGGUCUCCAGGUAAAGAAGGAUGGAAAGUGGAUUCCUGUUACCC
rnacentral:lncRNA from 1 species